rnacentral:lncRNA from 1 species
AUAUAUAUAUGUAUAAGAACAAAGUCGUCUUACCGCUAGUACGCCUCAUUCACGAAGCCGGUCUAUAAGGUGGGUAUAAGGUUGUUGCCUAUAAAAUGGUGACUUAAUGGGUGUCCACUCUCACCCACCGCUUGCUUGACUGGUGGAGGGUCGUUAGCCGAACGGGUAAGACAAGGACUUAUAAAUUCUCAUUCAAAGUAUGAUGAAUAUUAUAAAGUAACUAAAUGUUUUAUUAAAUUCCCAAUCUUAGUUACUUUAGGAAAAAUGUGAAUAAGGUGCUAAUCCAUGAAAUUACACUUUACACUUUGAUUGAGUCGUUGGUGGAGCGUGUGUGGUUAACCGGCACACUAACUUGGACUUAACAAGGUAGGUAAAGGGUGACUUAAAGGUUUAUUAUAGUAUCGAUGGAGCGUGUGUGGUUUACCGGCACAUCGAUUGAGUGAUAAACUUUAAAGGGUACCAAGUGAUUUGCAUGGUUACUUCACACCUCGUUUUGUGAUCCUCGGCAUCCCAGUCACAAAACCUGGAGGGCACAUUCGACAUUGAAACAUGCCUUUGAAAAGUUCAUUGAAUCUCAAAGAAUCUAGGAAUUUCUAAGAACCAAUCAAAGCCUAAUACUUAAAUAUUUCGGUUUUCGUGGUGGAAAUUGGUGAAUCGUCAUUCACCUACCUUUCAAAUAUGGUAUAGCUUAGAUUACGGCAUACCUCUUCUAAGUUAUAUUAUAUUGUGAUUGGAUCCUAGCCUUAAUAUUACAUUUGGGUGUUUUAUUAAGGACUCUCUUAUAUCUAAACUAAUCUUCGCGGUUACAACCGAUGUGGAUGCAACGGCAACUGUCUCUGCUAGAGCUGCAUAUCGCUCAUCAAAGUACUCAACCAUCAUGGUCUUAAUCAACCCAAACAUCUCUAGUAGCUGGGCUCGGAACACCUCAGUAACCUCGUCGUGCAGAAUCUCCCGGAUCCUGGCAUCCAACUCCUCUAUCCCUAUCUGUACCACAGGCUCAGGUGCUAUCGACACCUCUGACCCUCCGUCUCCCAAUCUUGACCCUGAUCCGGAUCCCGACCCUGAUUCGGACCCAAUAGCAAAACGUGUCAUCACCACCAUACUAAAAAGAAUAAAGUCAAGACAUCAGAUAAACAACAUAAUAUCGGGAGACCAAUUCCCACAACCCUAGGGGUUGUGACUUCCUUGCUACGCGUAUGGGUCCUGUGCUUUUAGUAGUACGGGCCCAUACUACCUUCCACACCUACCCAUAUUUGUCUCAAGUAUCACCACAACACCCUAAUACGAUCAUUAACAUAAUAUGCGCUCAACCCUCACUCCUAGGGGAACCUCGCCUAUCUCACAACUAAUCUCACUGCUCCUCGCAACUUACAUAUCAUUGAAACUUCCAUCAACCCCUGCAGUGCUAGUGCAUGCCAUUCGAACAUAACACUAGACCCAAUAGACUUUCGAAUAUCCGGUCCUAUCUGUAGACUGAACCAAACAUUCUCAGGCUAUAAGAUCUUGAUUACGCACAGUCGUGAUGCAUACACUAACAACUACAAUAAUGAUGUCAAUUCCAUAUACAAGAAACCCUAGGCUAGUUGGCAUCAUAUAAUUAGGAAAAUCUUAUCAUGCGAUUCCUGAAGACUUCUAUCCUAGCACUAGCAUGUUGUUUCGUCAUAUCUAUUAUCAAAUAACUGUAUGGUAUUUUGGGGUUUACUUACAGGCUCUGGUUGAUCGUACCCUCUGCAUCCUCCAUCCUUUAUUUUGAAAACCAUUUUAGUAUUUAUUUCAAAAAUUCCCUUGAUUUGAGACUGGAUUCACACAAGUUUUCCUCCAAUUCACUCAAACCAAGGCUCUAAUACCAACUUGUAACAUCCAAAAAUUUACGCCAAAUUUAAACUUUUACAAUCAUAAAUAAAAACCAAAUAGUAAUUGUUUACAAAAUGUUUUCAAAUCAUUAUUAAUCAGAGUGUCGCAAUAAAUAGAUCAAAAGGAUGAGGAGCGGUACGGUCACGCCUUCACCUUGCCAUGAUCUCCUGAAGUACCUGAAACAAUAAACUGAAAACUGUAAGCCCGAGGGCUUAGUGAGCUACCCCUAAAAUACCAAUACCACACUGAUAAUACCAUGUCAGUAACAAACAAUCAAAUAACAUGCAUACUGGACCAUCGGCCUGACUGGACCGCCCUGCAGGUGCUAUAAUCUAUAUGAUCAUAUCCCAAGCCUUGGGCAUGACUGGUCCGGCACGUGGGCCUACAGUCUCCCCGAACCGCUCAUAGCAUAUGUUGGCCUUCAGCACAAAGGAGGACCGCCUCAACCAAACCAACAAGCAAUAACCAUGUGCGCAUAACUAUCAUAUACUGGCACAUACAAACAUCAAACAUACCUAUCUCACUGAUCAUCAAUCAUAUAAAUCUCUCAUAACUAGAGCACUGACCUGGCAGGUCACUAACAAACCAAUCCCUAUGAAUCAUAAGAGCGUAAAAUACUAUCUAUCCUGAUUUCGAUCUAACAGAUCAUAACCACAUGUAGCAUACCAUAACAAUAACAACUAAAGGGCCAGCCUUGGUGUCGUAGACCCUAUCGAUAUAGUGAGGAUAACUCACCUUGCAGAUCUCGACUCGAUAGAUAGACUCUAACUCUCGGCUCACUUCCCAAAGACCCCACCACCUAUUACCAUAAUACGAAUGUACCCAUAAGUCCUUAACUUUACAAGGUACUCCAUAAACCAACUAGUCAUCCCCUGGUCAAAGUCAAAGUCCUCAGUCAAGGUCAACAGUCCAUGUUGACCUUACUCGCCGAGUACCCUUGGCUACUCGCCGAGUUCCUUGGCGUACUUGCCCACUUGCCGAGUCAACGGAGUGACUCAUCGAGUUCCUAUGGUUUAUGAUCGAACUCCAAGGCCAUCGUCGGGUUUCCUUCUUGCAACUCGAUGGUUACACAUGCAUAUAUAAGUUGGGGAAACUUCAUCCGAAUCACCGAGUUGUUCAUACAACUCGUCGAGUCUAUUGCAAUAUUCAACGGACUCGCCGAGUUGUUCUUCCAACUCGUCGAGUUCAAGCCUAUCUUCAUAUGAUUCGCCAAGUCGACCAUGCGAAUCCGCGAGUCCCUUCAGUCCUUUUUCCAUACAGACUCAUUUAGGGUCAUGCAACAGCUCCAAACUACAAAUCCAAGCUUCUCAGACAUGCUUUUCACGUAAAGUUGCAAACUUUACGUGCAUGCAUAGCUAUAAGGGCUCUAAAUGUCCAAUCCAAGCCCAUAAUGGGGUUUCCUACCCAGGGGAGGUUUCAUUCACGUCCAAACCAGAAACUUUAUGACUCUAGGACAUAAGAAGCGUCCAGAUCUGAAGUUACAACUUCAUAUCUAGCUCAUAUAUCAUAAUAUCACCUCAUUCAACCAUAAAAACCCUAGAUCUCCACCAUAUGAGGUCUAGAAGGAAAGGAGGUAAAGAUGACGACUUGAUACCUUCAAUGGAUGCUAAGUGAGGUAGAUCUCGGAUUACCACACCUUCCUUGCUCCUAUCCUCUUGCUCUCCAAGUUCUUCCUCUCCAAAAACCUUCUUUCCAAGCUUACAACACACAAGAAUGAAGCACCACACGAACUAGGGUUUCUAUGAGCUCUCAAGGACUGCAAACAGGCCAAAUGAGGCUUAUGCUUCGUUAAAUAGAGUGUAGAACCCCGUGAUUUAGGGUUUCAUCUGCCAGCUCCUACUUGUCGAGUCCCUUUAUGGACUCGCCGAGUAGGUCACUAAACACGCGAUCCCUGCUCGUUGCUACUCGAUGAGUAGGGCAACCAUCUCGUCGAGUAGGACUUAUAACCAAAGAAAUUAUUAUUUAAUUUAAUACCUUAGAAUCGGGGCGUUACAACAUGUAUGGUUAACCGGCACACUAACAUGGACUUGUGAGAAAUGGCAAAAGUCUAAACCAUUGAGACUAUGAUUACGACAUCCCUUUUCAAUGUUCUAAAUACGUUUAGACACACAUGUGUGCUAUCUAAGGAAAGGUGUAUGAUUUUGAUAAAGUUUUAUCAAAGCAUCUCGUAUCAGAAAUAUGAACUUUGGUAAAAAGGUCAAUAAAAUAUUGAUUUCUAGAAUUCCAGUAGAUUUUUGGAUACAUGUCAAAGCUAGUUAGAGCAUAAGUUUCAUGCUAUUAAGCAUCAUGCAAGUGGGAGCAUAAUAAUUAUAAUAAGUGUUACAAGUUAGCAAUGUUAAUUAUAGAAAAACAAAAGGUUUCAAUUGGGAAAAAGUUGUCUUGCUAAAAUUAAGGGAGAGGAAAAUAUCGUUCACUUCAAUUCUAAAAUCAUAGACUGAGGUUUUAAUCAUAUUUAGUCAAGGAUAUAUAUAUAUAUAUAUAUAUAUAUAUAUAUAUAUANNNNNNNNNNNNNNUAUAUAUAUAUAUAUAUGAAUUUCAUGUUGGAAUGGCUCAACAUAAGGAAAUUCUAUAUAUGGGUCCAUUAUUUGUCUUCUAAAAUUCGAUUAUGAUUACGGCAUCCCUUUUCAUAAUCAUAAUUAUGAGAACUUGGCAAAUAGAAAUAUUGUACCAAAAGGACUGGUCUAGUAUCAUGUUUUAUGUGAGACAUCAUGAAUCGUGUCCCAUAUGCUUCGGAUAUAGGAUUGAUUGCAUGUGCUAUAAUAUUCAUCCUUUCCAAAAUUUUCCAAAUUCCUGGGGCAUUAAGAUGGGAAAAGGUCUAGAAUUGGAUAUGACUAAAAUGAUUAAGCAAUUGUCGAGGACAAUCUAAGGUUUACCAAAGAUUGGUUUCUCAAGGACAGUUGGAAGUAUAAUGUUAAUUUUGGAAGGACCAUAUUGACACACUCUGAAAAGAGGCAACUCUUGGUCAGAAGUAAUAGUCAAAAUGGGAAUAUGGAAAUAUUUUCAUAGGUGGAAGUUUUUCAUUAAAUCUGUGUAAGAUUAGGAAACUUAAUGCAUGAAGGAUGUUCCAAGCAGUGUACUUUGAAUUUGAGACUUCAGUUCCAUGGAAGGAUCUCUAUUGGAAUACUCUAUAAUGUCUGUUGACAAGUCUUUGUGACUUUGUGCAUAAUCAUUAUAAUAGGACCAAUGCAUAUAAGUUUAGAAUCUAGCAGAUUUAGGUAAAUGGCAUGAAUUUGGAACUCUUGCAUUUGCGGUAAGGAUUUGAGACUAUGAAAUGAGAAACAUUGGAAUUAUGUUCAAUCGAUCUAUUUCACAAAGUAAAGAUCAUAGAAAAAAUUAAUAUGCACACUUGGUGUAUGGCAUAACUAAUGUUUAGACAAACAUAAUGUGCAUACUUGGAGUAUGGCAUGACUAGUGUUUAGAAAAACAUAGUGUACAUGCUUGGAGCAUUGGACAACUAUUGUUUUAAUUCAAGUAUAAAGUUGAUAGUUUGAAACAGUAUGCAAUGAAUGAUGGGUAAUCAAUAUGGUGAUAAAUAAAAGAUGUGUUAUUUAUAUUCAUAAGUUCUAAGACCAUAUUGGAUUCGAUUAUUCUUGUGGUUGACUUUACAUGUUUUGACUUCCAGAAUAACUUGGUCGUUCUUCCUGAAGACUAAGUUAUUCAAACAAUCCUGUAGCACCUGGUUCCUGGUAUGUGAACUUUAUCUAAGUGUUUUGCAUUUUUAGCCUUGGCCUCGGCGAGUUGUAGGCCCGACUCGCCGAGUAGAACGGCAUAUGGAACACGUUUAAGUUGGCGACUCGGCGAGUCCAUAUUCUGGACUUGGCGAGUCCCUGUUUUCUGAUGAAACCCUAAAUUCCAAGGGUUUUCACCCUAUUUAAACCAACCUUAUGCGCCCCAACCUCGCCCCCUUCACCCUCAUAGCUCCCUUUAUCGUCCAACCCUUAUUCCUUGUGAGAUUGAAGUGUUUUGGUGUGUUUCUUGAAGAUUUUGAGAGAAAAGAAGAGUAGAUCAAGAAGAGAAGAAGGAGGCCAGACAUCUUGGUGUUAUUUCAAGUGCUUCCCUUGAGGUAUAACUCAGUUUCCCUCUGGUUCUAUGCUUAUAGUCCCUUAUAGCUCCAUUAAAGUCCUUCAUGAGCCAUUUCCAAGAUUGGGUAUGAUUUAGGAUCUAUAAUAAGUUGAUUAACCUUUAGAUCUAGGCAUGAUUAAGCUCCAGGAGCUCGGAUCUAUUUCCUUUAUGGAGCCAUAUUGCAUGAAAGCCCUAGAUUUACUCUUUUAGUGCAUUUUGAGCCCUAAAACCUUCAUUGGUGUUUAUUUACACGUAAAGUUGGAAACUUUACGUGUUAAUAAAGCCCUAGAAACCCAGAUCUAUGUAUGGCAUGAGCUGGAUUCAAGCAAAAUCGAGUAUAUAGUAUUUGCAUGUGAAAGACUCAUCGAGUCGUUCAUCGGACUCGGCGAGUCGAGUCGCGAGUCCCCGAGUUUUCCCCUUUUUGUGUUUGUGGAGUGGAAUAGUGAGUCAUGGGGUGUGACUCAGUGAGUCGGAAGCCAGACUCACCCAUGAAGGAACUCGGCGAGUCAAUGCCUUGACUCGGUGAGUUCAAGGCAAUCUUCUUGCCUCAAGAACAGACUCGGCGAGUUGUUCAUACAACUCGGCGAGUCUCAGCAUAGCAUGUUCUUCGGAUGAAGAUGAACUCGACGAGUUGUUCAUACAACUCGGUGAGUAGGAUGAAGGACUAUUGGACCUUGGGUUAGAAGGAAAACUCGUCGAGUCAAUGCCUAACUGGACGAGUAGAGACGGGUUUAUGGUCAGACAAAGGGAUAGGGACUCGGCGAGUUGGCAGGCCAACUCGGCGAGUCGGGUUAACUGGAAGUUGACUUUGACUUUGACUCUUGGCUUGGUUAGGGGUAAAUGGUCAUUUUACCCUGAGGUCGAUUAGCAGUAUUUGACUGAGUGUUUUGUGGGGUUUUAACCGGAGGACUUCCGGGGCAGCAGCAACAGAAAACAGUCAGUUCCCACGCAGAUCAGCAACUACUUUGAGGUGAGUUACCUUCCAGUAGCGGUGGGGGAACUCACUAAGCUUCGUGCUUACAGUUUUCAGUUUUGGUUUCAGGUACCUUUUCUUCGAAGGGGAAGGAGCCGACAUGGUAGCGACACAUCACACACACGCUUUGUAUUCCGCACUAUGAGAUCUUCCUGGGGAUUUGUACUAUGACAGUAUUAUGUUUUAUAAAAUGGUUUCCAGACACGCAACAUCUUUUAUGAAAUGAUAUGAUCUGUGAAUGUUUUAUUUCUAAUGUUUUGCAAAUUGUAUGUUUGAAAAAUGAAAUUUUUGGCUCAUAUUUUUGGAACGUUACACAUCCACAGUCGGUCAUAUGUUGGAAGUAGAUAUGAAUCAAGACUGUCAUGGGCUGGCUUGUAGAGGUCUAAGAUGUUGGACAAAGUGGUGCUACAACACUCAUGAGUGCUCAUAAGUUCUGAGUAUUGGAUUCAAUCCACGCUCAUUGGAAUCACUUCAUGGAUUUUAUCACAAGUGAUUAUGAGACGAUAAUAUCUUAUAUUCUUGAAACAUAGAGCUAUGAGUUGUUACUAUGAGUUGGUUGUACAUUGAUUGCACGAAAACCGCAUUGGUAACUCGAUGUUAUAAAACGUGCCUUUGUGUAUGAUUCAACAUGUCACACCCCCAAACCAGAACGGCGGAAUCGUUUGGGGGCGGAGGACAUCAUAUUCAGUAUCAUAACAGUUCAUAGAAAGGAAAGUACACACCACCAUAAUAUAAAUAUGUUUGAAAAGUUUACAUGAUUGUAGGUGUUACAUGUUUGCAAAAGAAAUCAAAUAUAAAAUGGUGAUCCAAAAUAUGUUACUAACGCCAAUGCGUUAGUCUUCAGAAGUAGUUGCUACCUGGCUAGCGGUUUCCUGUGAAUACAAGUUAUUUCAAAGAAAAAGUGUCAACAUUUAAGUUGGUGAGUUCAUAAGUAGUGUUUUGAGAAGAUGUAUGCCAUUCGAAAGUGUUUGCAUGUUUUCCAGAAAAACCCUUAUUUUCUUAUAAAAGUAUGCAAUGCAUAUGAAUGUUCGUGAUGUAAAUUGCAACUAAUUGUACCGAGAAAAUCCCUUAUUUUCCUAUUAGUUGUUUGGUUUGUAUACAGGAAAAACCCUUAUUUCCCUGACAUAACUGGCAGUCUCUAAGACCGAAAAUCGCAAGCAAGCGACGUGCUUGUAAGUUGUGUCAUAGUUUUACAUAGUAAAGCUAUACGAAGAUCGCACUUAUUAGAUGAAGAAUAGUUUUAAUGACUACUCGUUCAUAAAAGCAUAAUACCAUAAUAAUUGUAUAUCCGAUGAGUUUUAUAACCAUACUAAACAUAAUAUGCCUGUAGCGACGUUCUUCAGGCGUCGUAGCGUUAUGACAACUGUCACCCCAAAAGACGGACUGUAGCUAACAGUCAGGGCGCGGGAUCAUGACUUCCCGUAUAGAUCUAUACACAUUUGACACGUUCUCCGAACGGGAGACUCUGGUUAUAGACAGGACUUGUAGCAUUAUUUUCUAAUAAAGAAAGUAACGUUUGAAGAUAUACACGACUCAUGGAUUCUCAACUAAGUCUGUAAUAAGGUAGUAGUUUGUAUGCAAAGUUUAACCUCUUUCACAAUGUUUGACAAAGCAUAAUCAUAAGUUCUUUGAAUGCAUGAAAUGACUUAGUAAAGAAUGUUACCCUUGAUAUGAUGUGUUUGUAUGUAAACGUAUAAAUAAAACAUAUUUCUAUUUAUAAACAUAUUAUAUCCCAAAGAGGGUAAAGCUGUGUUGUGAGGGGUUUUGUAUCAUAAUAACUUCACAAGAUAGUUAAAACAACAGUAUGAAAAGUAUAUCAAAAGGUUAAUGUUUCACACGAAUUUAGUCAUGUGUUAACUUGUAUUCCUCCCCAAAAAGAGUAUAAAACAUUUAAAAUGUAUUUAAAGAGUGUUCAAAGGGGAUAUGAACUCACUUGAUAGUUUGAAGAUUGUGAGGUGGAAAACCGAGCAGAGUUUCGUCUCGGGAAACUGAUUUUUCUUGGGAUUCUCGGGAAUCUCGGGAGUAGAAUCGGCCUUCGGGACUUGAGCCAAAAAGACCAGAGCUUCGGGUUUGAACGGACACGGAAAACGAGGAAAUGCUGAGAGAGAGAGAAGAGAAAUGAACCCUUUCUUUGGAAACCCUCGCAUUCUAUUUAUAGGAAGGCAAGUCUGCCUCGGUACGCGGGGCGUACGCUCGUACGCGCUGCGUACGCGUACGUCAUGCAUGACCGAAGCCUCGACUGCCUCGGUUCGGAUGGGACGGGUUCUUGGGUUAUCGGGUCGGAUGGGACGGGUUGCUGGGGAGGUGGGUCGGAUGGGACGCCGGGUCGGAUGGGACGUCGGGUCGGACGGGUCGGACGGGUCGGCUUCCUCGGAUAUGGCGACGUGGACGAUCCGAGGCCAAUCCUCUCGGUUACGCGGGGCGUACAGGAGUACGCAGCGCGUACUUCGGAGAAGGACGCUGACUCCUCUUCGGAUAAUAUCCGAAUUUUGAAUUAAAUAAAUAAUUAAUUUAUUUAAUAAACUUCAAAAAUCCAUAUCUUCUUCAUACGAACUCCGUUUUCGAUGGUCUUUAUAUCCACGCGUAGGUGAGACUACGAUCUACAACUUUCGUUUAGACUCCGUUGGCAAAUUCCAAAAUUAUUUUUAUUAUUUAUUUUAUAACUAAUCGUUUUUAAGGAAUUUCUUUGAAAAAUCAUAACUUCCUCAUGCGAAGUCAGAUUUGGACGUUCUUUUUGUGUACGCUCACGGUUUAAUGUUAUCUAUGACUUUCAUUUAGAUACCUAAGGCUAAAUGUUAUCGUAUUGAAACUUUGCGUUUUUCGUUUGAUCGGUGUUGUCGGUUUUGACAGAAAUCUUAGAAUGGUCAUAGCUUCUUCGCCAUAACUCAGAUUUUAGUGUUUCUUUAUUUAUUUGGAACCUUUAAGACGAUAUCUACUACAUAGCGUACUCCAAAUCAGAGCUUUUGAACAAUUCAUUUAUCGAUGAUAUUCCCAUUACAUUCAAAAGGGGUUACAAGACUCGGUUUAUAAUGCCCGGGAUAACGGGUUGUUACAUCAUCCCCCCGUUAAACGGAAUUUCGUCCCGAAAUUUAAUACAAGGUAAGAGUUUUAGGGGCUGAGGAAGAGAUGCGGAUACUUCUGUAGCAUUUGGUCUUCCCGUUCCCAUGUGAAUUCGGGUCCUCUCUUAGCAUUCCAUCGAACUUUUACUAUUGGAAUGCGACUCUGCUUGGUCCUUUUAACUUCCCUAUCCAUGAUCUCGACGGGUUCUUCCACAAAGUUGAGAUUUUCGUUUAACGCGAUUUCAUCGAGUGGAAUUACAAGUGUUUCGUCGGACAAACACUUUUUCAGGUUCGACACGUGGAAUACUGGAUGCACUUUGUUAAGCUCGAUUGGAAGUUGGAGUUUGUAGGCCACUGGACCAACUCUCGAAAUGAUUUCGAAGGGUCCAAUGUACCUGGGAUUUAGCUUUCCACGCUUCCCAAAGCGUAUCAUGCCUUUCCAGGGUGAGACCUUCAGUAGCACACGGUCGCCAAUCUGGAAUUCCAAGGGUUUACGUCUCCUGUCGGCAUAGCUCUUUUGCCUAUCCCUUGAGGACUUCAGUCGUUCUCGUAUUUGCACGAUCUUUUCGGUAGUUUCUCUGAUGAUCUCUGGACCAGUAAGGGUGCUUUUAGUGACUAGACCUUUUGCCAAUUGGGUGUCGCCCACUUCCGUCCAGCACAGGGGUGAUCUGCACUUACGGCCGUAAAGGGCUUCGAACGGAGCGGUCUUGAUACUAGUAUGAUAACUAUUGUUAUAAGAGAACUCGACCAAAGGCAAGUGAAUAUCCCAUGCCUUGCCAAAGUCGAUUACACAUGCUCGCAACAUGUCUUCCAAGGUUUGGAUCGUCCUCUCACUCUGUCCGUCAGUUUGAGGGUGGUAUGCUGUACUCAUGUCCAACCUUGUUCCCAUGGAUUUUUGCAGUGAUUGCCAAAAUCUGGAAGUGAACCUGCUGUCUCUAUCUGAGAUGAUGGACAUUGGUACUCCAUGAAGUCGUACGAUCUCCCGGAUGUAGGUUCUUGAUAGUUUUUCCAUCCUAUCGGUUUCCUUGAUAGGUAAGAAAUGGGCUGACUUGGUUAAUCUGUCGACGAUUACCCAAAUAGUAUCUUGGCCACUCUGAGUUUUGGGCAGUUUGGUUAUGAAGUCCAUGGAAAUCUGCUCCCAUUUCCACUCAGGUAUUUCAGGUUGUUGGAGUAGGCCUGAGGGUUUUUGGUGUUCUAUUUUUAUUUUGGCGCAAGUUAAACACUUGCCCACAUACGUAGCGAUCUCCGCUUUCAUGUUUGGCCACCAGUAGAGUUGCUUGAGAUCUAGAUACAUCUUGUCUGACCCUGGGUGUACGGAGUAUGGGGUCCUGUGUGCCUCGCUCAUAACUACCUCUCUGAAUCCCCCAAACUUUGGUGUCCAGAUCCGGUUCAUGAGGUAGCGUGCUCCGUCACUCUUGAUUUCUAAGUUCUUGUCCAUUCCCCUAAGGGCCUCACCUGCCACGUUUUCGGGUUUCAAGGCCUCUAAUUGAGCUUCCUUGACUUGCGUUGAUAGGUGCGAAUGGAUCGACAUAGCUAAUGACUUCACUCUCCGGCCUGAGUACUCCUUUCGACUAAGGGCAUCGGCUACGACGUUUGCCUUUCCCGGAUGAUAGCGAAUAUCGCAUUCGUAAUCACUGAGUAGCUCGACCCAUCGCCGUUGUCUCAUGUUGAGCUCCUUCUGAUCGAAAAUGUGUUGUAAGCUCUUGUGGUCGGUAAAGAUAGUGCUCUUCGUUCCAUACAAGUAAUGUCUCCAGAUCUUCAGGGCAAACACUACUGCUCCUAGCUCAAGAUCGUGGGUCGUGUAGUUAACCUCAUGUGUUUUCAACUGUCUCGAGGCGUAGGCGAUGACCUUACCUCGCUGCAUCAGAACACAUCCGAGUCCUUGGUUUGAUGCAUCGCAAUAAACUACGAAGUCUUCUAUUCCUUCGGGAAGGGAUAGUAUUGGUGCGGUGCACAAGGCUCGUUUGAGCGUUUGGAACGCUCUUUCUUGUUUCUCUUCCCAGUCAAAGGCCACACCUUUCUGGGUUAGGGUUGUAAGAGGCUUCGCUAUUCGUGAGAAGUUCUGAAUGAACCUGCGGUAGUAGCCAGCGAGACCUAGAAAUUGGCGAAUUUCUGUAGGAGUCUUCGGUGCUGACCAGUUCUCAAUGGCCUUAAUUUUGGAUGGGUCCACGUGGAUUCCCUCUUCGCUUACCACGUGUCCUAAGAAUUCGACUCUUCGGAUCCAAAAUUCACAUUUCGAGAACUUCGCAUAAAGUUUCUCUUUUCGUAAUAUCCCUAGAACUUGUCGCAGAUGAUCGCCAUGUUCUUUCUUACUUCGGGAGUAGAUCAGGAUGUCGUCAAUGAAAACGAUGACGAACUGAUCCAAGUAAGGUCGGCAUACUCUAUUCAUCAGAUCCAUGAAGACUGCGGGCGCAUUGGUCAAUCCGAAUGGCAUCACCACGAACUCGUAAUGUCCGUAACGAGUUCGGAAGGCGGUCUUCGGCACAUCCUCCUCUAGCACUCGUAACUGGUGAUACCCGGAUCUCAGAUCAAUCUUAGAAAAAUAGUUCGCCCCUUGCAGUUGGUCGAAUAGAUCAUCUAUGCGCGGUAGAGGAUAACGAUUCUUGACCGUCAGUUUGUUGAGUUCUCUGUAGUCGAUGCACAUUCUGAACGAUCCAUCUUUCUUUUUCACAAACAACACGGGUGCUCCCCAUGGUGAGAAGCUCGGUCUGAUGAAUCCUUUUCCCAGUAGUUCAUUCAGUUGACUGGAUAGCUCCUGCAUCUCUGCCGGGGCUAAUCGAUAGGGUGCUUUGGCUACUGGGGUAGCUCCGGGAAUCAGAUCGAUUCUGAAUUCGACUUGUCUUACGGGUGGUAUCCCUGGAAGGUCCUCGGGAAACACAUCGGGAAAAUCGCAUACGUCGGGCACAUCCUUGAUGUCCCGGACUUCGCGUUUCACGUCUACAACAUGUGCAAGAAAUGCGUGACACUCCUUUCGUAAGUGCUUCUGAGCUUGGAUACUUGAGAUGAUUCUAAGAGUGGUACUAGGUUUGUCGCCCAAGACAAGGAAGGUUUCGCCGGUUGGCAGAUUAAGGCGAACGGCCUUAUCGUAACAUAGAAUGUCCGCACGAUGUGAACUCAGCCAAUCCAUGCCAAUGAUGACAUCGAAACUCUUAAUCGAGACUGGCAUGAGGUUGAUUUGAAAGGGAUUAUCGUUUAGAGUUAGGGUGCAGUUUAAGUAUAUCUCUUUAGUGCCUUCAGUUUUCCCGUUGGCCAUUUCUACUAUGAACGGUUCACUUAAUGAUUGUGGUAUUGGUUUUAGCAUGCUUUUAAAGUCGUGACUCACAAAACUCCUUUCCGCUCCACUAUCAAACAAAAUGCAUGCAUACGAGUUAUCGAGAAGAAACGUACCCGUAACAACAGUAGGGUCCGCAAUGGCUUCAUCUUGUCCCAUUGCGAAAACUCGGCCUCUUCCGCCGGUAUUCCUGUUGUUUGCCUUCGGGCAGUCCUUGCGGUAGUGCCCUGUGCUCCCGCACUCAAAGCAAGCGCGGCUUACUCCGGUAUUAGCAGUGGGGGCGGAUUGUUGGGUUGGCUCCUUGCAAUAGCGGGCUGUAUGACCCUUCUUAUUGCACCUGGUGCAUUGAAGGCCAUGACAGAGACCGUGAUGGUGGAAGUUGCACUGGUUACAUUUCGGUAGCUUUCCAUUGUAUGAACUUGUGGGGGCAGAGUUGGUAGGUACAGUAAUAGCGUGGGUCGCUAUCACUUGUUGUUUCUUGGGGUUCUCCUGGAGGAUUUGUCCCCUCCUCUUGUUCCAAGGCCUACUCUGUCCCUGAGCCUCCCUAGGUGGAUUUGCGGCUGUUGUGAUGGUACUCUGUUUCGCUCCGUGAUCGAUGAGUCGUUGCGCCAGGCGUUUAGCGCUGUUGUAGGUGAUAGGGUUGGAGGCUAGGACAUGCCCUUGAAUCUGGGGUGACAACCCCCAAAUGUACCUUUCGACCUUCUUUGAUUCUGGGUUGACCAUGGUAGGGCACAAAGCAGCGAGAUCGUUGAACCUAGCUGUGUAAGCGACUAGGUCAGACCCGACCAUUUUCAAAUUCCAGAGUUCCUGCUCAAGCUUUUGCACUUCACCCCUUGGGCAGUAUUCUUCCAGUAGUAGUACCUUCAGUUCUUCCCAACUCAUGGCGUUAGCGACAGUGAGCGUCACUGAGUUCACAUGGCUUUUCCACCAAGUGAGGGCUCGAUCUAUGAAGGUGCAAGCAGCGAACUUAACCUUGCUUGUUUCUUGGCACGAGCAGAUCUCGAAGACCGUUUCGGUCUUUUCGAACCAUUGCAUUAGUGCAAUGACUCCUCCUGUUCCAUUAAAAGUUUUUGGUUUAGCGUUAGAGAACUCCUUGUAGGUACAUUCUCUUCCUUGGCCAUGACCAGUGCCAUGAUUUGGAUGAUUCGUGCUGCUUCCCGCCCCUCCAUUCCCUUGAGAGUUUAUUUGCGAGAGGGCUGCGGUUACCGCUGCUGUGAUAGCAGCCUGAACCAUGGCCGGAUCAUAAGCUGGUGGUGGAGGUGGUGGUGGUGCCGUGCCCGGCCUGGGCCUUAAGUUUGGACGAGGAGGCAUCUUGCUGCCAAAAGAAAAAUAUGGAAGAAAAUUAUAAGUUUUGGCAGUUCAAAGUUGAAUGAUAUUGAGUUAACUGCCUUAAAUAGAUUAAGAAUUUGGUUUGAUCAACAAUGGGUUUUGAGCUUGAUUUAUUAAUAACGUUUGAAUGGAUGCACUUAUGAGUUGAACGGAAUACACAUAUUUAAAAUCAGAGAAGGGGGGGAUGCCCCAUAUAUAUAAAACAUAUAGUCGUGUUACAUCCGAGUUUAGACAAAACUUUUUGACCUUUCUAAAGGUCUCCGAUUACAGAAAGUUUUAACGAAAAGGAAAUUCUUAUCCGAAGUCCUAAUUUAUAACAAAAUUUGAAAUCCUGGCAGGCACUACUUGCGACGUAGGUUGCGCUUGGAGCUUGACUCCGCAUCUGAUUGCUUCGAUUCCAUUAGGCGUCGAUCAAAAGCGGCUUGUUGCUCCCUUAACUCGGCUAGGGCUGCAAUUAUCUGUGCCUGAAAUGCCUCAGACUGGAGUUGGACAUUAUCUUGUAUCUUGUCCAGUCUACGGAUAUCGGAAGUGUGAACCUGCACUUCCACGUUGAUAUCCCGGAGUCGGCUUGCUUGUACUCCGGACUGAUAGGACUGAUUGGCUAACUUACCAACCAUUACCGGGAGUGCUCGAUCAGCCGAACUGCCACCGCGGACAUCGUAGAAGUCCCGACACAUGCCGUAGGGAGGGCGUAUGCCUUGUUGUUGGCUCCAAUGAUGUAGGUGACUUCCCCAGACGGGAGUGGGUCCUUGGAAGUUCCUCACAUGGACAGGAGGUUGAAUGGGUGGUGGAUCGAUCACUUCAGGUUCUGAGUCAGUACCGGAGUCAUCACCCAAUUCUAUGGGUUCCUCAUCCUCUUCUGGAUCAUCUUCGAUCCAUCCUCCGUUGCCUUGGUUGGGAAAGUAGGGGUCAUUGGGGUGGUGAAAUCCAGCCAUUUGACUGUACGAGAAAUAGGGUCAUAAGAAUUGAAUAAAGUCGGAACAUGCAAAACAUGUAAGUUAGUUUAAAUAGCAAUUACUCCUAUAGCAUUUAAAUUAUUGUGUUUGAUUCUAAUAACGGUUUGGUAAGUUUUUAAAAUUUGUUGUCCACUGCAGACACCCCUCGGCACACGUUAGUCGGCUCUCGGACAAAUAUAGUUGAUCAGGCUAUAUCCUUCCCAGUUCCGAUUACAUGUCCCAAGGCGUACCUGUACUGCACAACUCAUUAAUAAUACUUCUAAUAUGGUACGAUGUGGAACUGUUAUUUAUUACUAAAUGAAUGCAUGCUUACUUACAAAAACUAAAUAGAUUUAAUUUCAAAAGCAUGACUCUUCUCAGAGUGUUUUUGCCCAGUUGAGUUUAUAGUUGUAUAAAAAAAAAGGUUUUGAUAUACUUAAUUCACUAUAAACGAAGCUCUGAUACCAAUCUGUCACACCCCCAAACCAGAACGGCGGAAUCGUUCGGGGGCGGAGGACGUCAUAUUCAGUAUCAUAACAGUUCAUAGAAAGGAAAGUACACACCACCAUAAUAUAAAUAUGUUUGAAAAGUUUACAUGAUUGUAGGUGUUACAUGUUUGCAAAAGAAAUCAAAUAUAAAAUGGUGAUCCAAAAUAUGUUACUAACGCCAAUGCGUUAGUCUUCAGAAGUAGUUGCUACCUGGCUAGCGGUUUCCUGUGAAUACAAGUUAUUUCAAAGAAAAAGUGUCAACAUUUAAGUUGGUGAGUUCAUAAGUAGUGUUUUGAGAAGAUGUAUGCCAUUCGAAAGUGUUUGCAUGUUUUCCAGAAAAACCCUUAUUUUCUUAUAAAAGUAUGCAAUGCAUAUGAAUGUUCGUGAUGUAAAUUGCAACUAAUUGUACCGAGAAAAUCCCUUAUUUUCCUAUUAGUUGUUUGGUUUGUAUACAGGAAAAACCCUUAUUUCCCUGACAUAACUGGCAGUCUCUAAGACCGAAAAUCGCAAGCAAGCGACGUGCUUGUAAGUUGUGUCAUAGUUUUACAUAGUAAAGCUAUACGAAGAUCGCACUUAUUAGAUGAAGAAUAGUUUUAAUGACUACUCGUUCAUAAAAGCAUAAUACCAUAAUAAUUGUAUAUCCGAUGAGUUUUAUAACCAUACUAAACAUAAUAUGCCUGUAGCGACGUUCUUCAGGCGUCGUAGCGUUAUGACAACUGUCACCCCAAAAGACGGACUGUAGCUAACAGUCAGGGCGCGGGAUCAUGACUUCCCGUAUAGAUCUAUACACAUUUGACACGUUCUCCGAACGGGAGACUCUGGUUAUAGACAGGACUUGUAGCAUUAUUUUCUAAUAAAGAAAGUAACGUUUGAAGAUAUACACGACUCAUGGAUUCUCAACUAAGUCCGUAAUAAGGUAGUAGUUUGUAUGCAAAGUUUAACCUCUUUCACAAUGUUUGACAAAGCAUAAUCAUAAGUUCUUUGAAUGCAUGAAAUGACUUAGUAAAGAAUGUUACCCUUGAUAUGAUGUGUUUGUAUGUAAACGUAUAAAUAAAACAUAUUUCUAUUUAUAAACAUAUUAUAUCCCAAAGAGGGUAAAGCUGUGUUGUGAGGGGUUUUGUAUCAUAAUAACUUCACAAGAUAGUUAAAACAACAGUAUGAAAAGUAUAUCAAAAGGUUAAUGUUUCACACGAAUUUAGUCAUGUGUUAACUUGUAUUCCUCCCCAAAAAGAGUAUAAAACAUUUAAAAUGUAUUUAAAGAGUGUUCAAAGGGGAUAUGAACUCACUUGAUAGUUUGAAGAUUGUGAGGUGGAAAACCGAGCAGAGUUUCGUCUCGGGAAACUGAUUUUUCUUGGGAUUCUCGGGAAUCUCGGGAGUAGAAUCGGCCUUCGGGACUUGAGCCAAAAAGACCAGAGCUUCGGGUUUGAACGGACACGGAAAACGAGGAAAUGCUGAGAGAGAGAGAAGAGAAAUGAACCCUUUCUUUGGAAACCCUCGCAUUCUAUUUAUAGGAAGGCAAGUCUGCCUCGGUACGCGGGGCGUACGCUCGUACGCGCUGCGUACGCGUACGUCAUGCAUGACCGAAGCCUCGACUGCCUCGGUUCGGAUGGGACGGGUUCUUGGGUUAUCGGGUCGGAUGGGACGGGUUGCUGGGGAGGUGGGUCGGAUGGGACGCCGGGUCGGAUGGGACGUCGGGUCGGACGGGUCGGACGGGUCGGCUUCCUCGGAUAUGGCGACGUGGACGAUCCGAGGCCAAUCCUCUCGGUUACGCGGGGCGUACAGGAGUACGCAGCGCGUACUUCGGAGAAGGACGCUGACUCCUCUUCGGAUAAUAUCCGAAUUUUGAAUUAAAUAAUUAAUUAAUUUAUUUAAUAAACUUCAAAAAUCCAUAUCUUCUUCAUACGAACUCCGUUUUCGAUGGUCUUUAUAUCCACGCGUAGGUGAGACUACGAUCUACAACUUUCGUUUAGACUCCAUUGGCAAAUUCCAAAAUUAUUUUUAUUAUUUAUUUUAUAACUAAUCGCUUUUAAGGAAUUUCUUUGAAAAAUCAUAACUUCCUUAUGCGAAGUCAGAUUUGGACGUUCUUUUUGUGUACGCUCACGGUUUAAUGUUAUCUACGACUUUCAUUUAUCGAUGAUAUUCCCAUUACAUUCAAAAGGGGUUACAAGACUCGGUUUAUAAUGCCCGGGAUAACGGGUUGUUACACAACAAGUAGUAGAACAAGCCAUAUGAGUCGAAGUUUAUCCAUUCCUUUUACCUUCGUGAUAGAAGCGAUAUCUAUGGGCCCCUCGAUGAUUUAAUGAUGAUACAUGUGAGUGCUUGGCCAGGACAAGAUUAAUGUGAUUUGUUCAAUUAGUCAGUCGUUAUAAAUCGGAAAUUGGGAAACAACAACGGACAGAGAGAAUGAUUUAUAAUCCAUGUCUCAGUCUAUAUGAUAUCUAGAAUGGAGGAAUAUAUGAUCCUUUAUAUAAUGGACAAGUCAUUGACAAAUGUAAGAGUUCAUCGACAAGUUUAGAGUUCGACAGCGGAUUUUUAGAGCUACGAUUGCCAGUUGGUUCUUGAAUUCAUACGCAAUAAUAAUUUUAGACUUAUCCAAGUGGAAUACUGUUGGAUUAGUGUCUACAUCCAUAACUACAAUUUGUAUGUACUUGACCCGACUCGGCAUGGUCCAUUUGGGUUACAUGGUAUCAGAACAUUUGGAUAGACCAUUUCUGAGAAGAGGACAUUUGUGACAUAUUAAUAUAUUAUAAGUUCUAAUAUAUUAAUAUGAAAUCAUGUUAUUUAAUUACUAUUGAUCAAGAAUAAAUUUGGACUUAAUUUAGUGAUCAAAAGAAACUAAUUAAAUAUAUAGGGAUUGAUUAUGUAAAUCAUUCAUUCUUAUAUAUGUGGGCUUAUGAUCCAAGAUUCCUUAUGUGGGUUUAACCCAUGUGGUGAUCCAUGGAUACUCCAUGGAGGUUAAAACCCAUGGAGCAUAAGGAAUGGGUAAAGUCAUGAGUUACAUGGUGUAACCCUAAUAGACACACUAUAUAAAGACCCCAUUGGUUGGUGAAAUUGGCACUAGUGUAUACACAAUAGGGCAAGCCGAUUUCUAGAGUUCAUGUGUCUUCUUCUCAUGGCUAUUCCAUCUGUUGGUGAUGUUGUGUGAACCAUUUGAGGUGUCACAUUUGGGGAACUAGGCUUUCGAGCUUUAUGGAGUCAAGCUACAUCAACAAGGUAUGUAUUCUAUCCAUUUUAUUACCCAAGUAUCAAAAGAUUGUAUGCUAGUUAGGGUAAUACCUUGGAAUAUUCAUAUUUGGAUGUAUAAUUGAGAAAACAUAGAUCCAAGGUAUUUAGGGUUGCAUGUACACAUAGGAAUGUUAGAAUGCUCAAAACCCAUCAAAAUCCACAACCUAUGUCAAGCACCCAAGAGUUAGAAUGUGAUGAGUUUUUAGAUAGAAUAGUAUAAAUAAAUGCAUGGGUGGGUUUAACCUUCCCAUAUUUAACAUCCUGCAAGUAUUUGAAGCAGCUUCGCUUCAAGUGCCCUUUCUCGUGAUAGUAGAAACACUCUACUUCAUUAGGAAUGGAAAUGGGAGCAACAGAACCAGCCUUGGUCCCACUUAAAGAGGAUCUAUCAAUAGACUUUUCCUUACAGCUAUUUGUGGGAGCCUUCCUCUUCUUCCCUUUCCCUUGUCCUAUUACCAGAACAGGGGCAGUAGUAGGAGUAGUAACAGCCAAUUUACCUUUGAGACCACUUUCGGCAGUCCUCAAAAGCCCUUGAAGUUUGCUAAUUGUGACCUCCUCCUUACUCAUAUGAUAGGUCAUCGGGAACUGAUCAUACACGGAGGUAAGGAGUGUAGAAUGAUAUAUAUAUAUAUANNNNNNNNNNNNNNNNNNNNNNNNNNNNNNNNNNNNNNNNNNNNNNNNNNNNNNNNNNNNNNNNNNNNNNNNNNNNNNNNNNNNNNNNNNNNNNNNNNNNNNNNNNNNNNNNNNNNNNNNNNNNNNNNNNNNNNNNNNAUAUAUAUAUAUAUAUAUAUAUAUAGCCAGCUCCUCAGGGAAGUUCACAUUCAACUUUAGCAAUCGGUCCACAAACUUUUGAAUUUUAUGAAAGUGGCCCGUGAUGGGUUCACCAUCCUUCAUCCUGGUUGUUAUCAUGGAAGAGAUUAUUUCAUACCUCUCUUGAUGAGCACUUAGAUGGUAUCUUUCCAUCAGUUCCUGGUGCAUCUCAAAAGGGUAGAAUUCCUCAUAGUACUUUUGGACUUCAGCUGACAUAGUGGCAAGCAUGAUAGAAGCUACCAUGGUGGCAUCCUUCUCAUGUGGCCUAAACUCAACAAUCUCCUCAGGAGUAGAAGAAGAAUCAUCAAUUUCCUUUAGCUCCUUGUCGAGGACAUAUUCCUUGUCCUCAUAGCAAGUGACCAUCCUAAUGUUCCUAAUCCAAUCAUUGAUGUUGGAACCAUCGAAGAUGACUCUCCCACAAAGGUUCAUGAGAGAGAAGGAGCCAGUAGGGUAUGAGCCGUAAUAAAACACCCAAAUGAAAUAUUAAGGCUAGGACCCAACACAAUAUUUUAGAAUUUGGAAGAGGGAUGUCGUAAUCCAACUUGCAAAAUAUUUGAAGCUAGAUAAAUGACGAUUUACCAAUUUCCACCUUGAAAAACGAAAUUCUUAUUAGGUUUUAAUUGGAUUGAAACUCCUAGAUCUUUUGAGAUUCAUUGAACAAUUUAAUGGCAUGUUUAAAUCUCAAUUAUGCCCUUCAGGUUUUUGACUGGGAUACCGAGGAUCACAAACUAGGUGUGAAUAACCAUGCAAAAUGUGCUUGGUACUCCCGACUUUAUCGCCCAAUCAAUGUGUCGGUUAACCACACACGCUCCAUUGAUCUUAUGAAAAACAUCGAGCCACCCUUUGCCACCCUUACUAGUCCAAGUUAAUGUGUCGGUUAACCACACACACUCUAUCAACGACUUGGUAAGGUGCAAAGUGUAAUUUUCAUGGAUUAACAUCAAUUUUGCACUUUCCUAAAGUAACUAAUACUGGGAAUUUAAUGAAAACAUUUAGUUACUUUAUUAUCAUUAUACUUAAUGAGAAUUAGUCCUAUCCUACCCGUUCGGCUAACGACACUCCACCAGUCAAGGAAGCAGUGGGUGAGAGUUGACACCCAUUAAAUUGCCAUUUUAUAGGCAGUAACCUUAUACCCCCUUAUAUACCGGCUUCGUGAAUGAGGCCUACUAACAGUAAGANNNNNNUAUAUAUAUAUAUAUUAUUAACUUGUAAUACUAUAAUAGUAUAAGGGUUGGAUUUUAACUUUUAAAAUUCUAAGGUUUGGAAUUAAUGUUUCAUUUAGUGAGACUUUACAAAUUCCAAAACUUGUGGGCAAGUUUUGACACUUUUCAAAACACUUGAAGUUCAUAACAUAUGAGUUUAAUGACAUCUUAAAUAGAAAAACCUUUCAUGUUCCAUAACAUCUAUAACUUGAGGACAAGUUAUGGAAUCAAUUAAAAAAGAUUUAAAACAUUAUUUAACUAAUACCAUAAUCAAAUAAUUCAUGGAAGAUUCAACAAAACUCAUAUGAGUAAGAUAAUUCAAAUCAAAAAAAUUUCAUGUAAUUAAUCAUAUAAACUAUUACAAAACAUGAAACUUAUCUUUUUAACUGGACAAGCAUGAACAUUACCCUUUUGAAAAAUAGGUUUCUAGGUUCAAAAAACAGUUUAGGGUAAUGAUCCUCAUCCAAUUGCAAACCAAACUCGAAAAUCUGCUCACAUGUGCAUCACCAUGUCGUGGUAAAAGCUUUCACAUCGUGGUGAGCAGUCAGAUGCAAAAAUGGAAAAAUUUUCAACUUUGGAAAAACAAGUAGCAUUAGGUAUAAUAGAAAGCAAGCAUAGGCUCUGAUACCACUGAAAGGUUUUAAGCAUUCUAACACUCCUAAGGUGUGCAUGCAACCCUAGAAACCUUGGAUCUAUGUUUUCUCUAUUAUAGAUGCAAACUUUCUUUUUCUCCAAGGAUUCAUCCUAACUAGCAUACAAUGAAGUAUAUGUAAUACAAUAAACUAGUAGAAUGACAUACCUUUUCUUAUAGCUUGAUUCAUUUAGACUUUAAGAUCCUAGCACCCCAAUUGUGAUGCCUCAAAUGCUUCACACAACACCACCAACAAUUAGAAUAACUUGAGAGAAGUAUCCUUGCACUCAAAAUUCGGCUAGCCCUCUUUCCUUUCACUUAGGCGCCGAUUUUGGUUGCUAUGGGGUCCUUUACAUAUUGUGACACAAUUAGGGUUACACCACAUCCCUUACACACCAUGGGUUUUAACCUCCAUGGAGUACCCAUGGGACACCACAUGGGUUUAGCCCAAUAUAAAGGAUUAUGGAUCAUAAGCCCACUAUUAAUUAGUCUCUUUUGAUCAUAAAAUUAAUUCCAAACUAAUUCUUGAUCAAUACUAAUUAAAUAAUAUGAUUUCAUAUUAAUAUAUUAGAAAUUAUAAUAUAUUAAUAAAUCAUAAAUAUCCUCUUCUUGAAAGUCCAUCCUUCAGAUUGUUCUGGUGCCAUGCAACCCAAAUGGACCAUGCUACUCUCGGGUCAAGUACAUACCUAUUAUAGAUAUGGGCUUAGACACUAAAUCCAAUAGAAGUUGAAUUUGUUACACAAUGGAAGGUUUCCAACAUAUCGACUGGGAGGUGCUAGUGUAGCAGGAACAACAGCAGGAAUAGUAGCAGCAUGGACUGGCACUGUUUAUUGUUUCUGGGAGGGCUCCUGUGAGGAUUGGCCCUUUCGUUUGUUCCAUAAUUUCUUAUUGUUGUCACUCUCCUUGGGCUGUUCAGGAAUGGCUGUUAGGGAGUCUUGGCGAUCUCUGUGAUCCACUAGUGUCUGUGCCAGACGCUUGGAGUUGUCGAAAGUAAGUGGAUUGGUAACUAUAACAUUUCCUUGAGUCGGGGGAGUUAAUCCCCAAAUGUACUUCUCCAACUUCUUACUCUUCGCGGUGACCAUCCCGUGGCAGAGAUGAGCCAGGUCACUGAAUCUGGCAGUGUAAGAAGCGAUAUCGGAGUUCUUUAUCUUCAGACUCCAAAGAUCCAGCUCUAGUUUUUGCAUCUCGCUCCUCGGUCAAUAUUUUUCUAGCAUUAGUUCCUUCAAAUCAUCCCAACUCAUAGCAUUGGCUAUUGGGAGAGUCAAUGACUUGACUUGGCUGUUCCACCAAGUGAGGGCUCUGUCUGUGAAAGUGCAUGCUACAAAUGUCAUGUUGCUAGUUUCAGGACACACAUAGAUUUUGAAUAUUGAUUCGGUCUUCUCGAACCAACGUGUUAAAGAAAUGACACCUCUGGUGCCAUCGAAGGAUUUGGGUUUAGCAUUCAUGAAAUUCUUAUAAGAACACUCUCUUGGGUGUCCAUGACUAUCUCCAUGGUUAGAUGGGUUGGCACCACUACCCGCCCCACUAGUGCCACUUGCAUUAUAUGUGUUAUGGNGCCACAGCGGCAGUUACUGCUGCGUAGAAGACAGCAGGGUCGUACUGAGGAGGUGGUGGCGGUGGUGGAUUUGUUGACAGGUUUUUUUCUUCCUGUUGGACUUCUUUGGAGGCAUCUUACUCCAUAAUGAUUUAAGAGAAAAUGAUGAUAAGUCCUCUAAAGUGGUCAUGCGUUAGGUGAUAAUGAACAAGAUAUAUCUUAUCCUGACUGUUAUACUGUUCUGUCAAGCGAUUUACAAUGGAAGUCUACUAAUAUAAGUAAACAAUUGCUAACUUCGAUUAUAGCAACACUUGUAAAGAAUUUGUAUAGCGCGACUCACACUGGGUCCCUCUAUAGGCACCUGGUUAUACAAAUUAUGUAUAACUAUCAAGGCCUAAAUGCUCUUGUUCUAGUUUUGUAGAUUCAUAAAAUACUCAUAUAGUAUUUUAAUUUCAUGUUAGGUUCUAAAGUUUCUCUUGUAUGUAUUGUUGCUAAGUUUUAGACUUGUUGCAACACUACUAUCACUCCCAAACACAUGUUGAUCGUGUCUCAAAUAAUAUAGUUGAUCAGGAUAAUAUUAUUCCAGAUAUGAUUGAAGCAUUUGAGGCAUCACAUUUGGGGCGCUUGGCUCCUAAAGGUCCAAGUUAACAAGCUACAAGAAAAGGUAAGUCAUCUAACUAGUUUUUGUUAUUUAAGUACCUAUGAUUUGUAUGCUAGUUAGGACAAUGCUUUGGAAAAUCAAAUUGCAUGUAUGAUUAGAGAAAACAUAGACCCAAAGCAUUUAGGGUUGCAUAUGCACCAUAUGGUUGUUAGAGUGCUCAAAACCCAUCAGUGGUAUCAGAGACUAGGUUUGUUUUUUAUUAUACUUGAUGUUUAUUGGUUUUCAAAGUUGGAAAAAUCAAAUUUCUGCAUUCUGACUGGUGAACUCACCGAGUCCACUAGGUUACUCGACGAGUCCACUCAGAAACAGACCAACUCGACGAGUCUAGUGCAUGUACUCGCCGAGGUGGUGCUCUAGUGUGCGAAAUUUCGAGUUUUGGCCAGAAAUUGGAUUUUGAUCAUUACCCUAAACUGUUUUUUGAACCACGAAAUCUAUUUUUUCAUAAGUUAAUGAUCAUGCUUGUCCAAUUAAAAGAUAAUUGUCAUAAUUUCAAGAUUUGUAUUAGUUUAUAUGUUUAGGCUACUUUCUUGAAGAUUGAUGAUAUGAAUUAUCUUAUUCUUAUGAGUUUAAUUAGAUUAUGUGUGUAUUAUUUGAUUAUUGUGUUAAUGAAAAUAAUGAUCUAAAUGUUUUUAGUGGACUCCAUAACUUGUCCUCAAGUUAUGGAAAACAAAAAGUCUUUUCCUUAAAAGUCAAUAAACUCAUAAGUUAUAGAAAUGUAAAGUUUUGAAUAGUUUCAGAACAUGCCCUCUAGUUUUGUAAUUUAUAAAGUCACACCUAAGAAUACUUUAAUUCCAAACCCUAGAAUUUUAAAAGUUUAAAAUUCAACUCUUAUACUAUUAUAAUAUUAAAAUUUUAAUAAUUAUAUAUNAAGACAAGUCAGUCUUACCAUUAGUAGGCCUCAUUCACAAAGUCAGUGUAUAAGUGGGGUAUAAGGUUACUGCCUAUAAAAUGGUGGUUUAAUGGGUGUCCACUCUCACCCACCGCUUCCUUGACUGGUGGAGGGUCGUUAGCUGAACGGAUAGGAUAGGACACUAAUUCUCAUUAAAAGUAUAAUGAUAAUUAUAAAGUAACAAAAUGUUUUAUCAAAUUUUGAAUCUUAGUUACUUUAGGAAAAUGUGAAAUUGAUGCUAAUCCAUGAAAUUGCACUUUGCACCUUGCCUAGUUGUUAAUGGAGCGUGUAUGGUUAACCGGCACAUUAACUUGGAGUAGUAAGGAUGAGAAAGGGUAGCUUGAUGUUUGUCAUAGAUCGGUGGAGCAUGUGUGGUUAACCGACACAUCGAUUAGGUGAUAAAUGACAUCAAGUGUACCAAGUUAAUUUGGAUGGGUAUUCACACCUUAUUUGUGAUGCUCGGUAUCUCAGUCAAAAACUUGAAAGGCAUAAUCUAGAUUUAAGCAUGCCAUUGAAAAGUUCAAUGAAUCUCAAAAGAAUCUAGGAGUUUCAAUCCAAUUAAAACUUAAUAAUCUAUUUCAUUUUUCAUGUUGGAAAUUGGUAAAUCAUCAUUUAACUACCUUCAAAUAUUUUGCAAGUUGGAUUACGACAUCCCUCUUCCAAAUUGUAAAAUAUUGUGUUGGGUCCUAUCCUUACUAUUUCAUUUUAGGUGUUAUAUUAAGGACUCUUAUCUAAUCUAAACUUUGUCUUUCUCUUCAGAUGUCUUCCAACACUUCUUCUCGCUCAAACCCUACUAGCUCAUUCUCUCUCGUGAACUUGUGUGGGAGAGUCAUCUUUGAUGGAACUAAUUUCAAUGAUUGGAUUAGAAACAUCAGGAUGGUCACUUGCUAUGAGGAUAAGGAAUAUGUCCCAGACAAGGAGCUUAAGGAAAUCGAUGAGUCUUCUGCUACUCCUGAGGAGAUCGCUGAGUUUAGGACUCAUGAGAAGGAUGCAACCAAGGUGUCUUGUAUCAUGUUGGCCACCAUGACAGUUGAACUCCAAAACUCCUAUGAGGACUUCUACUAUUUUGAGAUGCUCCAAGACCUGAUGGAAAGAUACCAUCAGAGUGCUCGUCAAGAGAGCUAUGAAAUCAUCGCCUCCAUGUUAACUACUAAAAUGAAGGAUGGUGAACCCAUAACGGCCCACUUGUAGAAAGUGCAAAGGUUUGUGGACCACUUGCUUCAGUUGAAUGUGAACUUUGAUGAGGAGUUAACCAUAGAUAUCAUUCUACACUCCUUACCUCCAUUUUAUGAUCAGUUUCCGAUCACCUAUCAUAUGAACAAGGUGGAGUUCACUCUUAGGAAGCUUCAGGGCCUUUUGAGGACUACUGAAAGUAGUCUCAAAGGUAAAAAUGGUGUUUCUACUCCUACUGCUAAUAACCCAGUCUUGGCAAUCGGAUAUGCGAAGAGGAAGAAGAGGAAGGCUCCCUUUAAGAACCGCAAGGGAAAGUACCUUGAUGGAUCCUCUUCAAGUGGGACAAAGGCUGGUUCUGUUGCUUCCUCUACCAUUCCUAAGGAAGCAGAGUGUUUCUAUUGUCAUGAGAAAGGGCAUUGGAAGCGAAGCUGCCCCAAAUACUUCCAGGAUGUCAAGGAUAGGAACGUUAAGGCCACCCAUGCAAGUAUUUAUACUAUUCUAGCUAAAAACUCAUCACAUUCUUGUUUUUGGGUCCUUGAUACAGGUUGUGGAUUUCACAUUUGUUCUUGUUGGAUUAGUGUCUAAGUCCAUAACUAUAAUUGGUAUGUACUUGACCCGACCCGACAUGGUCCAUUUCGGUUGCAUGGCAUCGGAACAUUUGGAUAGAACUUUUGUGAGAUGAGGAUAUUUGUAACAUCCAAAUUCCCAGGUAUCUUAUUCUAAGUAUUUUUCUUGAAUUUUAGAGAGGGACUCGGCGAGUAGGCGCUCAGACUCGCCGAGUAGGACCGCGCUUUUCUUGUCUGAUUUAAUGAAGGGCUCGACGAGUCGAUGCAUGGACUCGGCGAGUCCGCGUUGUAAAUUGAAACCUUAAUUCUCGGGGUCUGUGCCCUAUUUAAAGGCCUUUAUAGCCUCCAACUAAGGCCACUUGCACCCCUGAGAAACCCUGUAAAGUAGAGAGAAAGCUUGUAGUGCAAGAAGAGGGCUAAUUCAUCAUUCUAAGUGUAAUUUUCCAUGAAAGAAGGACGGAAGACAAACAAGGAAGAUUGAGGAGCUCAGAUUUAUCACCCAUUUGAUCAGAAGAGGCUGCUAGAGGUACUAAUCUGUGCUCAAUCUCGUGUAUUUGGUGAUCUACUUGAAUCUAGGGUUUUCUUAUGCCUUCUUUGGCUUGGAUUCGAAGUAUGUAAGGUCCCAAGGUGGAGUUACUCUUAGAUCUAGACCUUAUAAGGUCCAUAGGGUCCUAUUUAUCUUGCUUUUUGCUAUUCCAUUAGAGAUAUGACCCUAGGUUGCCAUUCUAGAUGUUAUUUCACCCAAAGAAGCUUUAUAGAUAUUGCAUGAGUGUAAAGGUCGGACCUUUACGUGAUAAUAGUGGCUGGGAAGGCCAGAUCUAUAGGUUAGAGAAGUAGAUCUGACCUCAGAAGGUCAUUUCAGUGUUGCCAUGGAUGCAACUUGCCAAGUCCAUAAUGGGACUCAACGAGUCGUGACUGGUGUAACCUACUGAGUGGGAUGAUGAAUCGACGAGCCAAGAGAGGCUAGAAGGAUUCAGAGAACCCGCAUGGACUCGCCGACUCGCCCAUGUCCACUCGACGAGUCGGUCAAAGUUUGACCGUUGACUUUCGUUGACCUUAGGGUUCUGGUCAAGACUAAUUCAAGAGAGUUCAGAGAAACGUAGAAUGGCCUUCUACCCAAUCUGCAGAGAUGAGGCUAUGAGAGAAUAUUGAUCGUGAAUGUUAUUUGAAUAAUAGGAGGAGGCUAGGUCGGGACGUUGAGCACGAGAGUUAUCCGACUUCAAUGAGGUGAGUCUUCUCGCUAUACUUUACCUGCAAGGGUACCAAUGUGUGACCGGAAGGUCUUAUUGUUGGAUUAAUUUCUAAGUCCAUAACUAUAAUUGGUAAGAGUUGACCCGACCCGGCAUGGUCCAUUUGGGUUGCAUGGCAUCAUGCAUUUGGAUAGACUAUAAUGAGAGAAAUAACACUUAAGGUUGGUUAAUAUAUUAUAAGUUCUAAUAUUUAAAUACGACUUUUUAAUUAGUAUUGAUCAAGAAUUAAUUUGGAAUUAAUUAAGUGAUCAAAAGGAGACUAAUUAAAUAUAUGGGUUGAUUAUGUAAAUCAUUCAUUCUUAUAUAUGUGGGCUUGUGAUCCAAGAUUCCUUAUGUUGGACUAAGUCCAUGGGGUGACCCAUGGAUACUCCAUCGAGGUUAAAAUCCAUGGAGCAUAAGGAAUGGCUAAAGUUAUGAUUUACAUUGUGUAACCCUAAUAGCCACCAUAUAAAAGAAUCCCAUGGCUCAAGAAAUCGGCCACUAUGUGUGUGAGUGAUAGGGCUAGCCGAUUUUUAUGAAGUGUGGAAUUCUCUCAAGUCUUUCCAAGUGCAUAUGAUGUUGUGUGAACCAUUUGAGGUGUCACACUUGGGGCACUAGGCACUCAAGCUUCAUGAAGACAUUCUACAUCAAAGAGGUAUGUAAUUCUAACAUGAUAUAUUCAUAAGAAUCAAUGCUAUUAAGCUAGUUAGGAUGAAUACCUUGGAAAGUUCAUAUUUGCAUGUAUUAUAGAGAAAACUUAGAUCCAAGUUAUUUAGGGUUGCAUGUACACUUAGGAGUGUUAGAAUGCUCAAAACGCAACAGUGGUAUCAGAGCCUAGGCUUGUUUUCUUGUUAUAUUUGCAAAAUUGGCUGAAAAAUCGAGUUUUUAUGCUCCCUGCUGAGCAGACUCGCCGAGUCCACUGAUGGACUCGCCGAGUCCAAGGCAAAAUGCAUCCAACUCGCUGAGUUUCUUCGUGCACUCGACGAGUUGGACCCUCAGACAGCAUAUAUUCGAUUGUUUUGGCUGGAAUUGGACUAGGAACAGUACCCUAAAAUGUUUUUAGACUUAUAAACUUGUUUUUAAUGUGGUAAUGUUCAUGUUAAUUCAAUUUCAAAGAUAAUUGUCAAUAGAUUCAUGUUUUGUAAUAGCUUAGUGAUUAGGCUAAUUACAUGAAAAAGUUUGAUUUGAAUUAUCUUGUUCUUAUGAGUUGCUUAGAUUAAUAGAAAAGUUAAUUGAUUAUGUGUUUUCAAUCCAUUUUAAUCUAAGAGUUGAUUCUAAAAUGUGUUUUUGUAACUUGUCCUCAAGUUAUAUGAAAAGUCACAUUUAAGUUUCAUAAAACUCAUAAAAGUUGGCAAUGGUUACAAAAAAUGAAGAGUCUUGUCCUCAAGUUAUGGAGGUUCAAGAGUCACUUCAUUAAGUAACAAAAUAUGUAACCUUAAUUAAUUCCAUAAGUUACAAAAUAAAGAAAAGCUACAUUCUUUUAUUAGUUUAAAGUGUUCCAUUCCUUGACUGGUGGAGGGUCGUUAGCCGAACGGGUAGGACAAGGACUAUAAUUCUCCCUUCAUUAAAAGUAUUAAUGAUAAAUACUAAGUAACUAAACCUUUUAUAAAUACCCAAUCUUAGUUACUUAGGAAAAAGUGAAUAAGGUGCUAACCCAUGAAAUUACACUUUGCACUUUGCUUAAGUCGUUAGUAGAGCGUGUGUGGUUAACUAGCACAGUAACCUGGACUUAACAAGGUAGGCAAAGGGUAACUUAAUAUUUAUCAUAGUAUUGGUGGAGCGUGUGUGGUUAACCGGCACAUCGAUUAAGGGGUAAAUAUUAAGGGUACCCAGUAUAUUUGCAUGGUUACGUCACACCUUGUUUUGUGAUCCUCGGCAUCCCAGUCACAAAACCUGAAGGGCACACUCGAGAUUGAAACAUGCCAUUGAACAGUUCAAUGAAUCUCAAAAGAUCUAGGAGUUUCAAAUCCAAUUAAAACCUAAUAAAAUAUUUCGUUUUUCAUGGUGGAAAUUGGUGAAUCGUCAUUCGCCUACCUUCAAAUAUUCUAUAGCUUGGAUUACGGCAUCCCUCUUCCAAGUUAUAAAAUUGUUUGUUGGGUCCUAGCCUUAAUAUUUCAUAUUGGGUGUUAUAUUAAGGACUUUAAAUCAACUAUCUUGAAUAUCUCCCAAAAGAUGUCUGGUUUAGACAUCUAUGAUCUUCCCAAAUCUCUUGAAACAAGUUUUCCUAAAUGAAGAUGAUGUCCCAUGGAAAUCAUACUUCUUUCACCUCCUCCAAUUAUUCUCCCUAACCCACAAGUUCUUGAAAAGUUUAAGGUCACUCAAGCCCUAUUGGCAAGGCAAGGUCUAGGUGUGAUCACAUCUUGGAGAUGUAGUCACAUAUUGACAAGCCGGGAGAGUUGGGUGUCAAAGUCUUGAGAAAGUUGGUGGUUCAAUCACUUUCUAAGUCACAUAGUGAGUUCCUUUGGAACACUUAUGAAAUAGACUAUGACAAGACCCUUAAUGAUCUUAUCUAUUUGCUAAGAUCAACUUCCUAAAACUUUGUGGACAUUGAUAAUGAUACAUUGGAUAUCCAGUAAAGCUCUCUCUUCCCAAUGGAAAGGGAUCGGCCAUAGUCAACUCGGUUGACCAUAUGGUAAGGAGAAAGGCUAAGUCAGUGAUAGUCCCAUAUUCCAUUACCAAAGCGUCCAUAUGUUAAAUUACCAAAGGAAGGGGCAUUGAUUGCGAAACUGCCAAUUUACCUAAGGGUGUUAAAGUCAAUAAGUUUCACUCUACUUCAGGUAAAGUCCGCUAUCUAACUCUGCUAAGUUUCUACUCUGAGAUUCUUGAUACAUGAUGUGACUGGGUCACAUGGUGAUGUUUCAAGAAUCAAAGAAAAGUGAAGAAACUUCAAGAAAGAAUAUGUUAAAUCUGAUCGCGUAGAUGGAUUUCUAUCGCCUAGUUUGAAGAUCGGAUUCUUGAGCUACUUCUUAGGAGUUAUGAGAUAUUGCUUAGGAAUAGAUAACAACAAGUUUUCAUAUGGAUUGUAAGGAUAUGUUUUUCCGCAAAGGUUUUAAAAAUAAAGGGAAAUUUUUUAUUUUAUUUAUUCUAUGUAUCCUUACAGUGGCGUUUGUGAAAAAAUUGCUGCUUAUAUGAUUCCAUUAAUAGAAAGAGUGGAAAUAUGAAAUUGAUUCUUUCAUUUGUGGUAAUGUCUAAAUUUACCAAAUAAGGAAAGAUUCUCAUCACCCAAGUUUCAAUUGGACCGGAACUUGGAAUCAUGCAAGUUGUAUAGCAUGAUGAAUGAGAACUUUCAAGUUUUGGAAAAUUAAGACUAAUUACUUUGUCACAUGGAUGUGUGAGUCAAGUAACGGAGUAAGGGAUCGAGUACACAUUCUUGUGCAUUGAUUAAGUCCACCACAAAUGAUCGAUAAGACUACUCGUCAUGAUUUACUUAAGUUCAGAAAAUAUGGUUAUACUUACAAGUUUAAGUAUAAUUCUGAAAUAUUGGAAAAGUGUCAAUGUAAGACAGAGCGAAUAAGAAGAAUCAACUUAAGCAGAAAGAUAAAUGUUUCUCAAAUCUGAAAAGAUGGGAGAUUACUUUAGUAUCAACUUUUGUGAUCAUCUUAAUGAUUAAGAAACCAUAGCACAAUUAGUUAUCUAAGGAAAUCUUAGUGCAUUCUUAUUACUAAGAAGGGGAAUCUUGAAUUGUUGAAAUGUUAAAUCAAGAAGAUGAGUCAUACUUCGUUCCAAUACAAGUCUUAGAGUCAUACUCCAAGAUUGUAAUUUGAGUGACAUGUCUUAGAUAAGGUUUAAAACACAUGUCAAAUGUAAGAGUAAAAGUUUUCUACUCUUGUACAUUUGAAAUUGGUAAGUUGUGAUGUUUUGGAUAAAACAAAGACCAACUAAGGCCAAUUGUGUGAAGUGUUUGUCUUGAUUAGAAUCCAAACUAUCUCUUGAAUAUCUGACAAGAAAGUCUUAUAUGUCAAGAGGACAGUGAGAGUUCUUCACUAGCACACGACUUGAGGUUCAUAACCUAUCAUGUUGACAUAUUUUUGCCCAUUCCAAUUAAAUUUGGCUUUGCAUAUGAGUUCUUAGAGUUCUCAAUUGGUUGCACAACAACUUGGAAGCAAUGGCAGGCCCUUGAGCUGCCAGAUGGCAAGAAAUUAAGAUCUAGUUCAGUCCAUAUGAUUUUGGAUUUGUCAUUUUCCUUGUCCUGUGACUAUGGUUUGGAAAAUUCACAUGGUUAAGAACACAUACGCCAUUAAAUCUAAGUGUCAUAAGGUUUCUCUCCGAUUCAUGAAAAUCAUGGUGAGAAAACACUUUCACUAAGUACAUUUUAGCUAGAUAGCAAUUGUGAUGUUUGCAUUCCAAGUGUAUUUGGUGAAGUGUAGAAUUCUCUCAAGUUAUUCCAAGUGUAUUUGGUGUUGUGUGAACCAUUUGAGGUGUCACACUUGGGGCACUAGGCACUCAAGCUUCAUGAAGACUUUCUACAUCAAAGAGGUAUGUAUUCUAUCUUGUUACAGUCAUUGUUUUGUAUGCUAGAUUAGGAUAAUACCUUGGAAGUUCUUAUUUGCAUGUAUAAUAGAGAAAACAUAGAUCCAAGGUAUUUAGGGUUGCAUGUACACUUAGGAGUGUUAGAAUGCUCAAAACCCAACAGUGGUAUCAGAGCCUAGGCUUGUUUUCUUGUUAUACUUGCAAAAGAAGCUGGAAAAUCGAGUUUUGAUGCUGUCUGCCCAGCAGACUCGCUGAGUCCAUGAAUGGACUCGCCGAGUCCAAGGCAAAAAGCAUCCAACUCGCCUAGUUGGUUCGUGCACUUGACGAGUUGGACCCCCAGACAGCAUAAAUUCGAAUUUUUUGGCUGGAAUUGGACUAGGAACAUUACCCUAAGAUGUUUUUGAACUUAUAAACUUAUUUUUGAUGUGGUAAUGUUUAUGCUAAUCCAAUUUCAAAGAUAAUUGUCAAUAGAUUCAUGUUUUGUAUUAGUUUAAGGUUUAGACUAAUUACAUGAAAAAGUUUGAUUUGAAUUAUCUUGUUCUUAUGAGUUGCUUAGAUUAAUAGAAAAGUUAAUUGAUAUAGUUGUUUUCAAUCCAUUUUAAUCUAAGAGUUGAGUAUAAAAUGUGUUUGUGUAACUUGUCCUCAAGUUACAUGAAGAGUCACAUUAAAGACUCAUAAAAUUCAUAAAAGUUGGCAAUGGUUACAAAAUGAAGAGUCUUGUGUCAUUGAAUAAUUUUUUAUGACUCCAUAACUUGUCCUCAAGUUAUGGAAGUUCAAGAGUCACUUCAUUAAAGGAAAAUAUGUAACCAUAAUUAAAUCCAUAAGUUAUAAAAUAAAGAAAAAGUUAGUUCUUUUAUUAGUUUAAAGUCUUCCAUAACUUGUCCUCAAGUUAUGGAACUUGAAGAGUUUUUGGAUUAAAACUACUUUAAACACAUAAGUUAUGGAAUUAAUUAGUUUUGAAUAGUUUCAAAACUUGCCCUCAAGUUUUGGAAUUUGAAAAGUUUUCACUUAUGAAUACUUUAAUUCCAAGUUAGCCCUUAGAAUUUUAAAAGUUAAAAUUCAACCCUUAUACUUUAUAAUAUUAUAAGUUAAUAAUAUAUAUAUGUAUAAGAGUAAAGUCAGUCUUACCGCUAGUACGCCUCAUUCACGAAGCCGGUCUAUAAGGUGGGUAUAAGGUUGUUGCCUAUAAAAUGGCAACUUAAUGGGUGUCCACUCUCACCCACCGCUUGCUUGACUGGUGGAGGGUCGUUAGCCGAACGGGUUUGACAGGACUAGAAUUCUCCCUUCAUUAAAAGUAUUAAUGAUAAUACUAAGUAACUAAACUCUUAAUAAUACCCAAUCUUAGUUACUUAGGAAAAAUGUGAAUAAGGUGCUAAUCCAUGAAAUUACACUUUACACUUUGUCUAAGUCGUUAGUGGAGCGUGUGUGGUUAACCGGCACACUAACUUGGACUUAACAAGGUAGGUAAAGGGUGACUUAAUAUUUAUCAUAGUAUCGAUGGAGCGUGUGUGGUUAACCGGCACAUCGAUUGAGGGGUAAUUUAUUAAGGGUACCAAGUGAUUUGCAUGGUUACUUCACACCUUGUUUUGUGAUCCUCGGCAUCCCAGUCACAAAACCUGAAGGGCACACUCGAGAUUGAAACAUGCCUUUGAAAAGUUCAAUGAAUCUCAAAGAUCUAGGAGUUUCAAAACCAAUUAAAACCUAAUAAUACAUUUCGUUUAUCUUGGUGGAAAUUGGUGAAUCGUCAUUCACCUACCUUCAAAUAUUUUAUAGCUUGGAUUACGGCAUACCUCUUCUAAGUUAUAAAAUAGUUUGUUGGGUCCUAGCCUUAAUAUUUCAUAUUGGGUGUCAUAUUAAGGACUUUAAAUCAACUAUCUUGAAUAUCUCCCAAAAGAUGUCUGGUUUAGACACCUAUGAUCUUCCCAAAUCUCUUGAAACAAGGUUUCCUAAUGAAGAUGAUGUCCCAUGGAUAUCAUACUUCUUCACCUCUUCAAAUUAUUCUCCCUAACCCACAAGUUCUUGAAAAGUUUAAGGUCACUCAGGCCCUAUUGGCAAGGCAAGGUCUAGGUGUGGUCACAUCUUGGAGAUGUAGUCACAUAUUGACAAGCCGGGAGAGUUGGGUGUCAAAGUCUUGAGAAAGUUGGUGGUUCAACCACUUUCUAAGUCACAUAGUGAGUUCCUUUGGGACACCUAUGAAACAGACUAUGACAAGACCCUUAAUGAUCUUAUCUAUUUGCUAAGAUCAACUUCCUAAAACUUUAUGGACAUUGACAAUGAUGACAUUGGAUAUCCAGUAAAGCAUUCUCUUCCCAAUGGAAAGGGAUCGGCCAUAGUCAACUCGGUUGACCAAAUGGUAAAGAGAAAAGCUAAGUCUGUGAUAGUCCCGUGUACCAUUAUCAAAGGGUCCAUAUGUUUAUAUUGCCAAAGGAAGGGGCAUUGGUUGCGAAGCUGCCAAAUUUACCUAAGGAUGUUAAAGUCAAUAAGUUUGACUCUACUUCAGGUAAAGUCCACUAUCUAACUCUGUUAAGUUUCUAUUCUGAGAUUCUUGAUACAUGAUGUGACUGGGUCACAUGGUGAUGUUUUAAGAAUCAAAGAAAAGUGAAGAAACUUAAAGAAAGAAUAUGCUGAAUCUGAUGGCGUAGAUGGAUUUCUAUCGCAUAGUUUGAAGAUCGGAUUCUUGAGCUACUUCUUAGGAGUUAUGAGAUAUUGCUUAGGAAUAGAUAACAACAAGUUUUCAUAUGGAUUGUAAGGAUAAGUUUUUCCGCAAAGUUUUAAAAUAAAAGAAAAUUUUUUUGAUUUUAUUUAUUUUAAAAUAUCCUUACAAUGGCAUUUGAGGAAAAAUUGUUGCUUAUAUGAUUCCAUUAAUAGCAAGAGUGGAAAUAUGAAAUUGAUUCUUUCAUUUGUGGUAAUGUCUAAAUUUACCAAAUAAGGAAAGAUCCUCAUCACCCAAGUUUCAAUUGGACCGGAACUUGGAAUCAUGCAAGUUAUAUAGCAUGAUGAAUUAGAACUUUCAAGUAAUGGAAAAAAUAAGACUAAUUACUUGUUCACAUGGAUGUGUGAGCCAAGUGAAGGACUAAGGGAUCGAGUACACAUUCUUGUGCACUGAUUAAGUCCACCACAAAAGAUUCAUAAGACUAUUCGUCAUGAUUUACUUAAGUUCAGUAAAUAUGGUUAUACUUACAAGCAUAAGUGUAAUUCUGAGAUAUUGGAAAAGGUUCCAAUGUAAGGCAGAGCGAAUAAGAAGAAUCAAAUUAGGCAGAAGGAUAGAAGUUUCACAAAUCUGAAAAGAUGGGUGAGGACUUUCGUAUCAGUUGUUGUGAUCAUCUUAAUGAUUAAGAAACCAUAUCAAAAUUAGUUCUCUAAGGAAAUCUUAGUGCAUUCUUAUGACUAAGAAGAGGAACUUGAAUUGUUGAAAUGGUUAAAUCAAGAAGAUGAGUCAUACUUCGUUCCAAUACAAGUCUUAGAGUCAUACUCCAAGAUUGUCAUUUGAGUGACAUGUCUUAAAGAAGGUUUAAAACACUUGUCAAAUGUAAGAGUAAAAGUUUUCUACUCUUGUACAUUUGAAAUUGGUAAGUUGUGAUGUUUUGGAUAAAACAAAGACCAACUUAGGCCAAUUGGGUAAAGUGUUUUUCUUGAUUAGAAUCCGCACUAUCUCUUGGAUGUUUGACAAGGGAGUCUUAUAUGUCAAGAGGACAGUGGGAGUCUUAAAGGUCUUGAAAGUCUCAAGAACUAAUCAAGAAUAAAACCUGAAAUUCUUCACUAGCACACGACUUGAGGUUUAUAACCUAUCGUGUUGACAUAUCUGUGCCCAUUCCAGUUAAAGUUGGCUUUGCAUAUGAGUUCUUAGAGUUCUCAGUUUGUUGCAUAACAACUUGGAAGCAAUGGCAGGCCCUUGAGCUGCCAGGUGGCAAGAAGUUAAGAUUGAGUUCAAUCCAUAUGGUUUUGGAUUUGUCAUUAUCUUUGUCUUGUGAUUAUGGUUUGACAAAUUCAUAUGGGUAGGAACUCAUACACCAUAUAAAUCUAAGUGUCAUAAGGUUUCUCUCCGAUUCAUGAAAAUGAUGGUGAGGAAACGCUUUCACUAAGUAGAUUUUACGAAGAUAUCAAUUGUGUUAUUUGCAUUUUCAAAAGUCGUUAGUGGAGCGCGUGUGGUUAACCGGCACACUAACAUGGACUUGUGAGAAAUGGCAAAUGCCUAAGCAAUUGAGACCAUGAUUACGGUAUCCCUUUUCAUGGUUCUUGAAAUUGCUUAGACACACAGGUGAGCUAUCUACGGAAAGGGUGUAUGAAUCUAAAUUUCAGACUGUCCAGCUGAUUUCUGAGUACAUGUCAAAGCUAGUGGGAGCAUAAGUGUUAUGCUAAUAAUCAUCAUGUUAGUGGGAGCAUGAUAAUUAUGAUAAGUAUUGCAAGUUAGCAAUGUUAAUUAUAGAAAACAAAAGUUUCAAUUGGGAAAAAGUUGUUUUGCUAUAAUUAAGGGAGAGGAAAUUAUGCUUCAUCUCAAAUCUAUAAGCUUAGAUCGUGAGGUUUUAAUCAUUUAGUCAAGGAUAUAUAUGAAUUUCAUGUUGGAAUGGCUCAACAUAAGGAAAUUCUGUAUAUGGGUCCAUUAUUUGCGUUCUAAAAUUCGAUUAUGAUUACGGCAUCCCUUUUCAUAAUCUGAAUUAUGAGAACUUGGCAAAUUGAAAUGGAAAUAUUAUAGCAAAAGACUGGUUUAGUCUUUAUGUAAGACAUCAUGAAUCGUGUCCCAUAUGCUUCGGAUAUAGGAUCGAUUACAUGUGCUAUAUUCAUCCGUUCUAAAAUUUUCCAAAUGCCUGGGGCAUUAAGAAGGGAAAAGGUUUAGAACUGGAUAUGACUAAAAGGAUUAAACAAUUGUCGAGGACAAUCUAAGGUUUACCAAAGAUUGGUUACUCAAGGACAAUUGGAAGUAUAGUGAUAAUUCUGGAAGGACCAUAUUGACAUAAUCUGUAAGGAGGCAACUCUUGUUCAGAAGUGAUAGUCAAAAUGGAAUCUGGAAAUGUUUCAAAGUUAGAAUUUUCAAUCUGUGUAAGAUUAAGGAAACUUAAUGCAAGAAGGAUAUUUCCAAGGAGUUGAUCUCCUUUGGAAUACUCUGUAAUGAUUGUUGCCAAGUCUUUGUGACUUUGUGCAUAAUCAUUACAAGAGGAUCAAUGCAUAUAAGUUUAGAAUCUAACAGAUUUCAGUAAAUGGCAUGAAUUUGGAAUUCUUGCAUUUGCAGUAAGGAUUUGGGAGUGUGAAAAGAGAAUCAUUGAAGUUAUGUUCAAUUGAUCUAGUUCACAAAGUAAAGAUCAUAGACAAACAUAGUAUGCAUACUUGGUGUGUGGCAUGACUAGUGUUUAAGAAAACAUAGUGUACAUGCUUGGAGCAUGGGACAACUAUUGUUUUAAAUUCAAGAAUAAAGUUGAUAGCUGAAACAGUAUACAAUGAAUAAUGUGUAAUCAUAUGGUGAUAAAUAAAAGGUGUUUUAUUUAUGUUCAAAGGGUUGAUACCAUAUUGGAUUCAAUUAUUAUUGUGUUUCAUUUUGCAUGUUUUGACUUCCCGAAUAAACUGGGUUAUUCUUCCGGAAUGACUAAGUUAUUCAAACCAUCCACAGUCGGUCAUAUGUUGGAAGUAGAUAUGAAUUAAGACUGUCAUGGGUUGGCUUGUAGAGGUCUAAGGUGUUGGACAAAGGGCUACAACACUCAUGAGUGCUCAUAAGUUCUGAGUAUUGGAUUCAACCCGCGCUCAUUGGAAUCACUUCAUGGAUUUUAUCACGAGUGAUCAUGAGACGAUAAUAUCUUAUAUUCUUCAAACCUAGAGAUAUGAGUUGUUACUAUGAGUUGAUAGUACAUUGAUUGCACGAAAACGCAUUUGGUAACUCGGUGCUAUAAAACGUGCCUUUGUGUAUGAUUCAACAAGUAGUAGAACAAGCCAUAUGAGUCGAAGUUUAUCCAUUCCUUUUACCUUCGGGAUAAAAGCGAUAUCUGUGGGCCCCUCGAUGAUUUGAUGAUGACAAAUGGAAGUGCUCGGCCGGGCCAGGACUGAUUUGAUUUGUUCAAUUAGUCAGUCGUCAUAAAUCGGAAAUCGGGAAACAACAAAUGGACAGAGAGAAUGAUUAUAAUCCAUGUCUCAGUCCAUAUGAUAUCUAGAAUGGAGGAAUAUAUGAUCCCUUAUCUAAUGGACAAGUCAUUGACAAAGGUCAGAGUUCAUCUACAAGGUCAGAGUUCGACAGAAGCUUUUGAGAGCUACGAUUGCCAGUUGGUUCCUGAAGUCAUACGCAAUAAUAGUUUUAGACUUAUCCAAGUGGGAGACUGUUGGAUUAAUGUCUAAGUCCAUAACUAUAAUUGGUAAGACUUGACCCGACCCGGCAUGGUCCAUUUGGGUUGCAUACCAUCAUGCACUUGGAUAGACUAUAAUGAGAGAAAUAAGACACUUAUGGUUAUUAAUAUAUUAUAAGUUCUAGUAUAUUAAUAAUAAGAAUAAUAAGAUUAUUUAAUUAGUAUUGAUCAAGAAUUAAUCUAGGAUUAAUUAAGUGAUCAAAAGAAGACUAAUUAAAUAUAUGGGUUGAUUGUGUAAAUCAUCCAUACUUGUAUAGUGGGCUAAUGCUCCAUGGAUAAUCAAGUUGGGCUAAAACCCAUAGGAUGGUCCAUGGAUGCUCCAUUGUGUAUUUGAACCCAUGGAUCCAAGGAAAUGGAAAGUCAUGACAAUUAGGGUUUACCCUAAUUGAAACACUAUAUAAAGAUCUUAUUCUUGACAAAAUUGGCGACUAGUAUCAUUCUAGAGAGGGCUAGCCGAUUUCAUGAAGUGUAGAAUUCUCUCAAGUUAUUCCAAGUGUAUUUGGUGUUGUGUGAACCAUUUGAGGUGUCACACUUGGGGCACUAGGCACUCAAGCUUCAUGAAGACUUUCUACAUCAAAGAGGUAUGUAUUAUAUCUUGUUACACUCAUUGUUUUGUAUGCUAGAUUAGGAUAAUACCUUGGAAGUUCUUAUUUGCACGUAUAAUAGAGAAAACAUAGAUCCAAGGUAUUUAGGGUUGCAUGUACACUUAGGAGUGUUAGAAUGCUCAAAACCCAACAGAAACAUGUCACCUCCUCGCCGCAAUUUCCAAAGUGUUUCUUCUUGGAUUUAUCACACCAUCAUGCUUCACCUCCUCCUCCAGACUUCGGGAAUUUUCUCUCCUUGUUGGACCUUGAAAAACCUUCAUGCUUCCUUUUCCAACCAACUUCAGCUCUCUCCAGACCCUUCUCUCUUAUCUGGGUCUCCACAUUCUUAGCAGCCCAGAUGGUGGCUUUCAGAGUGGUCGCUUGCUUGACCAUUGGACCAAAGUCCGUUGGUAAUCUGUGGGCAAACUUGUUGACCUUGGAGAGCUCAGUUAGAACUAGAUAAGGAAUGAGCUUCAUUUUCUCUGUAAAAUUUGUAGCAUACUCGGUGACACUCAUGUUGGGUUUUGAGCAUUGUAACACUUCCUAAGUGUACAUUCAACCCUAAUAAACCUUGGAUCUAUGUUUGUCUAUAAUACAUGCAAAAUUGUAUUCCAAGGUUUAUAACUUAUCUAGCAUGGCAUGGGGAACUUUUAAACAUAAAAGAAUUAGAUGAAUUACAUACCUUUUGAUGAGUGUUGAUUCCUUGGAGUUUGAGAGCCAAGCACCAAUAAUGUGAAUGCCUCAAGUGGAAAUCACAAAUCACCACAAACUUGGAAAAACUUAUGAAAGUGUAUACUUUGCACUAGAAAUCGGCCACCACUUCUCACACACACUAGGGUGUCAAUUCAUGCACCAUAGGCUUGUUUAUAUAGUGUAGAUGAUUAGGGUAAACCCUAAUAAGCCAUGUAUUUUCCUCUUCCAAGGAUCCAUGGGUUGAAAGCUCCAUGGAUCAUCCAUGGACUUCCAUAUAAGCUAAGCCCAUUCCCAAAUGAGUGUUAGCCCACACCAUAUAAAUAUAAUAGCCCAUGAUUUAAUUAGUCUUCCUUUUAAUCACUAAAUCAAUUCAUAAUUAAUUUAAAGAUUAAAACUUAAUUAAUAACAUGACUUUAUAUUAAUAUAUUAUAACUUAUAAUAUAUUAUUAAAACAUAAGUAUACAAUUCUCAUAAUAUUAUCCAUAAAUCGUUUGGGUGAAGUGCAACCCAAAUGGACCAUGUCGGGUCGGGUCAAGUAUAUACCAAAUAAGUUAUGGACUUAGACACCUUAUCCAACAGACUCCUACUUGGAUAAGUCUAAUAACUGUAUUUGCCUAUAUUACUUCAGGAACCAACCAACAAACAUAGCUCUCGAAAACUUUGUUAAACUAUGAAGCGCCAUUUUACAUAAGUGAUCAUAUAGUCCUCUGUUCUCAUGAUAUCAGCCGGACAAAUAGAUGGAACAAUGUCUUACUUAUUAUCUGGCAGUUGUUUCCCGAUUUCCGAUUUGUUUGACAAAGAACUUAACUGAACACAUCAAUUUAGUUCUGACCGGGCCCGGUACAUGGGUCAACACAAAAUCAUCGAAGGGCCCUGAUAUCGCUUCUAUUUCUAGAAGGAACAGAUAAACUUCGACUCAUAUGCUUGUUCUACUACUUGUUGAAUAGCACAUAAAGGCACGUUUUAUAACAUCAAGUUACUAAUGCGUUUUCGUGCAAUCAAUGCCCAUCCAACUCAUAGGUAACAACUCAUAUCUCUAGUUUGAAGACUUAUAUGAUAUUAUCGUCUCACGAUCACUUGAGAUAAAUUCCAUGAAGUGAUACAAGCGAGUGUGGGUUUAUUCCAAUACUCAUAACUUAUGAGCACUCAUGAACAUUGUAGCAAUCAUGGCUAUGUCUAAACACCUUUAGCCAUCUACAAACCCAAUUCAUCACAAUCAUGAUUCAUACCUACUUCUGACGUAUGACCGAUUGUGGAGGUUUGAAUAUAUUAAUUAUUCUGGAAGUCAAGACAUGCAAAACUGAAACAAUAGUAAAUAAUUGACAAUGAUAGCAACACUUUACUCAUAAAUAAAUCACAAAUUUUAUUCAUCAUCAAACUUCUAUUACAUUUUACCAGUUUCUGAAAAGGCUAUCUAAUCAAUAAAACUAAUAUCGUCCCUCAACCCGAUGUGCCUCGCAUGCUGCAAAUGCUUAACCCUCGUCAGUCCCCUCGUAAGGGGAUCUGCAGGGUUCUCAUCUGACGAUACCCUCUUUGCCAUGAGGAGUCCUUCUUCUAUCUUGUGUCUUAUGAAGUGAUAUUUUCUUUCAAUGUGUCAGGAUUUGCCAUGAUCUCUCGGUUCCUUGGCUAAGGCAACCGCACUAUUGCUGUCAUAGAAAAUCUCCAUAGGCUCAUUAAUAGCUAGUACAACUCCAAGGUCUCCGAUGAAGUUCUUCAGCCAUAUCUCCUCCUUCAUUGCUUCACUCGCUGCUAUAUACUCUGAUUCACAAGUCGAAUCAGCCACCGUCUCCUGCUUGGAACUCUUCCAAGAAAUUGCCCCUCCAUUUAAGGUAAAGAUCCAGCCCGACUGAGAGCGGAAAUUAUCCCUAUCAGUCUGAAAACCAGCAUCACUAUACCCUAAUAUUCUCAAGUCAUCACUGCCACCAAGGGUAAGGACCCAAUCCUUAGUCCUCCGCAGGUACUUGAGAAUGUUCUUUACCGCGGUCCAAUGAGCCUUGCCAGGGUUCCCCUGAUACCUGCUGACCAUGCUCAAAAAAAAGGCCACAUCAGGGCGAGUACAAGUCAUAGCAUACAUGAUCGAGCCUACAGCGGAAGCAUACGGUAAUCGACUCAUCGCUGCUAUCUCAGCCUCUGUACUCGGACUCUAAGUCUUACUCAGCCUGGCAUUGCUUUGGAUCGGUAAAUCUCCUUUCUUGGAAUUCUACAUGUUGAACCUUUUCAACACCUUAUCCAAGUAGGUACUCUGACUAAGUCCAAUUAGUCUUUUACUCCUUUCUCUUAAUAUCCUUAUCCCUAAGGUAUAGGCAGCUUCACCUAGGUCCUUCAUAGUAAAGCACUUCCUAAUCCAGGAUUUAACCUCCUGCAAGGUUGGGAUGUCAUUUCCUAUAAGUAGUAUGUGAUCUACAUACAGUACCAAGAUNCAGUACCAAGAAGCUAACUAUACUCCCACUAGCUCUGACAUACACGCAAGACUCAUCUUCACUUCUCGAGAAGCCAAACUCUUUGACCUUUUCAUCGAAACAAAGAUUCCAGCUACGAGAUGCUUGUUUUAAUCCAUAAAUGGAUUUCUCAAGCUUGCACACUCUAUUAGGGUAUUCUGCACUGACAAAACCCUAUGGCUGAUUCAUGUACACAUCCUCAGCUAAAUUUCCAUUAAGAAAAGCGGUUUUGACAUCCAUUUGCCAUAUUUCAUAAUCAUGAAAUGCAGCAAUGGAUAGCAUAACCCUAAUAGACUUAAUCUUUGCUAACGGUGAGAAGGUUUCAUCAUAAUCAAUACCCUGAGUCUGAGUAAAACCCUUCGCAACCAGUCGAACCUUAUAAGUGUGCACUUUUCCUUCCAUGUCGGUCUUCUUCUUGAAGAUCCAUUUGCACCCGACUAUUUUACGGCCUGGUACAUUGUCAACCAAGUCCAAACUUGAUUGUCAUAUAUGGACUGUAUCUCGCUUUCCAUAGCGUCCUUCCAUUUAGCAGACUCCGGGCUUGCCAUGGCUUCCUUAACACUGCUAGGUUCAUCAAAAUUUACCAGUGUACUAUCAUUGAUAAAUGUUUCACCUUCCGUAGUAAUAUGAAAACCAUAAUAAAACUCAAGUGUGUUCCUAACUCGUGUGGAACGCCUCGGAGGUACAGACUCGUCAGCUGGCUCAACAAGAGUUUCCUCCUUAGGUUGAUUGCUAGUGUCUGAAGUUCCUUCACCAUUUGAUUCUUGAGUUUCUUUAAGGUCAAUUAGCCUCCCACUGUCUCCUUGGCUUAUAAAAUCUCUCUCACGAAAGACCCCUCUUCUUGAUACAAAGACCACAUUCUCACUGGGUCUGUAGAAGAGGUAACCGAAGGAUUUUCAUGGGUAGCCGAUGAACAUACACCUUGCACUUCGGGGUUCGAGCUUAUCAUGAGUCUCGCGCCUCACGAAAGCUUCACAACCCCAAAUAUUGAUGUGGUCCAAAUUGGGAACCUUCCCAGUCCACAUCUCAUGAAGUGUUUUUGUAAAUUUCUUUGUAGGGACUAGAUUAAGGAUAUGGGCGGCAGUCUCUAAGACAUACCCCCAAAAAUAGAUUGGUAGAGAAGCUCGACUCAUCAUAGAGCGAACCAUGUCUAACAAGUUUGAUUACGCCUCUCAGCUACACCACUCAUUUGUGGUGUCCUGGGAGGAGUCAAUUGUGAGACAAUCCCACACUCCUUAAGAUAGUCAAGGAACUCGGUACUAAGAUACUCACCACCUCGAUCGGAUCGAAGCAUCUUAAUGUUCCUGCCCAAUUGAUUUUAUACUUCCUGUUUAACUUCUUUAAACCUUUCAAAGGUUUCUGACUUAUGUUUGAUUAAGUAGACAUAACCAUAUCUACUAAAAUCAUCAAUAAAAGUCACAUAAUACCGAUUAGCAUCCCUUGUGGCGGUUUUGAAUGGUCCACAUACAUCAGUAUGUAUUAGGUCCAACAAACCCUCACCGCGUUAACAAGUACCAGUGAAGGGUGAUUUUGUCAUCUUUCCAAGUACACAAGAUUCACAACUAUCAUCUGACUUUAGGUCAAAUGACUCGAAGACUCCAUCCUUUUGGAGUUGGCCUAUGCGUUUCUUGUUUACAUGUCCAAGAUGACAAUUCCACAAUGAUGUUUUGUCUAGGCUAGUAGAAGAAUCAAUAUACACUACAUUAUUUCCUAAGUUGUCUACAACCGACACAGUUUCAUACACACCAUCACAAGGUAAUGCUUUAAAAUAAAACACAUUUUUAAAGAAAUCAUUAAUACCACCACAUUAAUUAUCAAACGAAAAGGUAAAACCUUGUUUGUACAAACUAUGAAAAGAAAUAAUAUUUCUCGCCAUUUCAGAUGAGUACACACAUUUAUUCAAAUCUAACUUUAACCCACUACUUAGCAACAAGGUAUAAACUCCAAUCUUGUAAACAGGUGAAGCCUUCCUAUUUCCCAUAAUCAGGUUUAUCUUCCUGUGAUCCACAUCCUCACUUCUUGUUAGGCCCUGCAAAUCAGAACAUGCGUGAAUACCAGAUCCUGUAUCAAGCUCCCAGUAGUUAGAAUAUGAUGAGUUUUUAGACAAUAUUGUGUAAAUACCUGCGUGGGUGGGUUUCACUUUCCAAUCCUUUAGAUCCUGCAAGUACUUAGGGCAGUUUUGCUUCCAGUGCCCCUUGUCCUGGCAAUUGUAGCAAUCUGCAUCCUUGGGAAUGGCAGAAGGAAUGACAUAACCGCUCUUGGUCCUUGAUGAGGAGCCUUCAAGAGACAUUCCCUUAGUACCCUUCGAAGGGGACUUCCUCUUUUUCCCUUUGCCUUGCCCGAUAGCCAAAAGAGGGGUUGAUGUUAGGGUAGGAGUAGUAGAGGUUGUUGGAUUAAUUUCUAAGUCGAUAACUAUAAUUGGUGAGACUUGACCCAACCCGGCAUAGUCCAUUUUGAUUGCAUGGCAUCAUGCAUUUGGAUAGACUAAAAUGAGAGAAAUAACACUUAAGUUUGAUUAAUAUAUUAUAAGUUCUAAUAUAUUAUAAGGUUAUUUAAUUAGUAUUGAUCAAGAAUUAAUUUGGAAUUAAUUAAGUGAUCAAAAGGAGACUAAUUAAAUAUGAGUUGAUUGUGUAAAUCAUUCAUCUUAUAUAUGUGGGCUUGUGAUCCAAGAUUCCUUAUGUUGGACUAAGUCCAUGGGGUGACCCAUGGAUACUCCAUGGAGGUUAAAAUCCAUGAAGCAUAAGGAAUGGGUAAAGUUAUGAGUUACAUGGUGUAACCUUAAUAGCCACCAUACAAAAAGAAUGCCAUGGUUCAAGAUGUCGGCCACUAUGGGUGAUAAAAAGGGCUAGCCGAUUUUAUGAAGUGUUCCAAUUUCUCUCAAGUCAUUCCAUGUGUAUUUGGUGUUGUGCGAACCAUUUGAGGUGUCACACUUGGGGCACUAGGCACUCAAGCUUCAUGAAGAUAUUCUACAACAAAGAGAUAUGUAAUUCUAACUUGAUAUAUUCAUUUGAAUCUAUGUUAUUAUGCUAGUUAGGAUGAAUACCUAGGAAGAUCAUAUUUGCAUGUAUAAUAGAGAAAACAUAGAUCCAAGGUAUUUAGGGUUGCAUGUACACUUAGGAGUGUUAGAAUGCUCAAAACGCAACAGUGGUAUCAGAGCCUAGGCUUGUUUUCUUGUUAUACUUGCAAAGUUGGCUGAAAAAUCGAGUUUUUAUGUUGUCUGCUCAGCAGACUCGCCGAGUCCACUGAUGAACUCGCCAAUUCCAAGGCAAAAUGGAUCCAACUCACCGAGUGGGUUCAUGCACUCGACGAGUUGGACCCCCAGACAACAUAUAUUCGACUUUUUUGGCAGGAAUUGGACUAGGAACAUUACCCUAAGAUGUUUUUGGACUUAUAAACUUGUUUUUGAUGUGGUAAUGUUCAUGCUAAUCCAAUUUCAAAGAUAAUUGUCAAUAGAUUCAUGUUUUGUGUUAGUUUAAGGAUUAGACUAAUUACAUGAAAAAGUUUGAUUUCAGUUAUCUUGUUCUUAUGAGUUUCUUAGAUUAAUAGCAAAGUUAUAUGAAAUUGUUGUUUUCAAUCCAAAUGAAUCUAAGAGUUGGUUUUAAAAUGUGUUUUUGUAACUUGUCCUCAAGUUAUAUGAAAAGUUACAUUUAAGAUCCAUAAAACUCAUAAAGAUUUCCAUAAGCUAUGAAUAAGGAAGAGUCACAUUCUUUUAAUGGUUUAAAGUCUUCCAUAACUUGUCCUCAAGUUAUGGAAGUUCAAGACUUUUUUAAUUAAAACUACUUUAAACUCAUAAGUUAUGGAAUUAAUUAGUUUUGAAAAGUUUCAAAACUUGCCCUCAAGUUUUGGAAAUUUGAAAAGUUUUCACUUAUGAAUACUUUAAUUCCAAGUUAGCCCUUAGAAUUUUAAAAGUUAAAAUUCAACCCUUAUACUUUAUAAUAUUAUAAGUUAAUAAUAUAUAUAUGUAUAAGAGUNAUAUAUAUGUAUAUGUAUAAGAGCAAGUCAGUCUUACCGUUAGUAGGCAUCAUUCACAAAGCCGGUCUAUAAGGGGAGGGGGGGGGUAUAAGGUUACUACCUAUAAAGUGGUAGUUUAAUGGGUGUCCACUCUCACCCACCGCUUCCUUGACUCGUGGAGGGUCAUUAGCCAAACGAGUACGACAACGAAUAUAAUUCUCCCUUCAUUAAAAGUAUUAAUGAUAAAUACUAAUUAACGAAACCUUUUAUAAAUACCAAAUCUUAGUUACUUAGGAAAAAGUGAACAAGGUGCUAAUCCAGGAUAUUACACUUUGCACUUUGUUUAAGUUGGUUAGUGGAGCGUGUGUGGUUAACCGGCACACUAACCUGGAAUUAACAAGGUAGGAAAAGGGUAACUUAAUAUUUAUCAUAGUAUCGGUGGAGCUUGUGUGGUUAAACAGCACAUCGUUUAAGGGGUAAAUAUUAAGGGUACCCAGUAUAUUUGCAUGGUUACUUCACACCUUGUUUUGUGAUCCUCGGCAUCCCAGUCACAAAACCUAAAGGGCACACUCGAGAUUGAAACAUGCCCUUGAAAAUUUCAAUGAAUCUCAAAUAUCUAGGAGUUUCAAAACCAAUUAAAACCUAAUAAUACAUUUUGUUUAUCUUGGUGGAA